ACCGGGCUGCUGUCGGGCCGGAGGGCGGACACUUGUUGCGGGGAGCGGCCGGGGCGGGGACGGGCCGCAGCCCUGCUCCCGGGGUCUCUGACUCUGGAGGCGGUCUUCCUUUUGCACCGCCUACAUAGUCCAGAUCGUAUUCUACCGGAUCACUCAAGAUUUGAAAUCAAUUCCUCCUUCCAGUGCCAUGGUUGGUUACUCAUACCUUCCCAGGGUGUCAAAUCUGUGUGGAUUGGGUCGAGGAAGGAACAACUCCCAAUGUACUGAGUGUCCCUGAUGGUGGCAGUCUCCCUUUAAGGAACUAAAUAUUCUAAAGGCUUAGGAAAGGCUUUCUCCCAAAACCAUUCAACCAAAACUGGCCAAUCAACCGCAAGAUAAUGAGCAACCAGGAUCCUCACCCAAACACUGGCUUUUCUUCCAAUAGUGCAGAUUGAGAGUACAGAGCGUGGUCUAUUUAUGAACAGUGAGUCACGUCUGUUUCCUCCUUCCUCCCAGUGAAUGAGGUGCACCCCUCCUCUGUGUAGUAAAUACAGGGCAGGGGCUAAACCCCCAGGGCCAAGGAACAAGUACCCCGGUCACUUCAGGAGAAAAUUAAUCCAGCACUUGCCCUAAAGGCCAAAAUGCAAUUUUAUUCUCUGAUGUAUCCUCAGAUCCCAGAACAACCUCACAACAGAAUCUUAGUAAAUGUCGAAGUGGCCAAGUGGGCAGAGCCUUAGACAAAGCUGUUCCGGGAUACCAGGCACCCGGGCAAUUCAGGCAAAAAGAGAGAACAUGAGAUCCCUCAAAGAGGUUUGAAGUGCCGGCCAGAGCUUAGCCUGCAGAGAGAGAAGAGAAAGCCCCUGAGCUGUGACAAUUGUUGCUCUACACGGGAUGUCCUGGAGUGUGCAUGGCCAUUGUAAAUCCUCUCUGAAAGUAAAUGACCAUAUAAAUUAUACAUAGCCAAGACACAGCGGUGUCUCUCUUGGCAGCGACCUUCAGCUGCACUUCAUUGACAUGUGGACUCAUUGCCUAGGGAUGAAAGCUUUGCUGACAUGUUUGAUUGAGGGAAACCAGAAAGGUAAAUAUCAGAUGUAGCAGAAGGCAACGACAGUGCUCUAGGGAGGAGGCAGGCUCAGGGAGUAGAGGUCUGAGAGGGAAGGGAGUUGGCUGCUGUGCAUCCAAUGAGCAGCCAUGCUCUCCACUCUCCGAGUGGUAAGGUGGUGAUUGCUAAUGGUUGGCGCUGGUUUCCAGAGCUGCUUUCAGACUCAGAGGAGGAAGCAGUGAGCUUGCUUGUCGCUUUUGUAGAGCUUGAAUGCUGAAGGGUGUGGACAGGCCUUAGGGAAGAAGCACAUGAAGGAGGUAUUCUUAAGCACAGCCGCACAUGGUGAAAGUUUCCUAUGUAAAACUGCAGGCAUGGGGUUGGGGAUUUAGCUCAGUGGUAGAGCGUUUGCCUAGCAAGCACAAGGCCCUGGGUUCGGUCCCCAGCUCUGAAAAAAAGAAAAAAAACCGCAGGCGCUUGCAUAUAGCAUGUGCAUAAUAUAGCAUGUGUAUAAUAUAGCAUGUGCAUAAUAUAGUGUGUGCAUAAUAUAGCAUAACCUCCCACGUGCUUUAAGUCACCUCUAGGCCACGUAUGAUACCUGGUAGGUUGUGAACGUGAUUAAAUAGUUGUUAUACUGGUUUCUUUUUUAAUGUCAAGAAGGGAAGGUAUGUGCCUGUUGUCUGACUAUGCAGUUUUUCUUUAUGAAAAAAAAUAAAGAUUCUAGUUUGCCUGAAUCUGUGCUUGUGCAGCCUGAGGGUACUGAGGGCUGUCAGAAGAGAGAGGUGCAGCAUGGGAUGUGAAAGAGAAUCAGGUAGUAGCAACAGGUGGGAAGCCGCAUGGCAGUCAGUCCUUACACAGGGUUGCACACUGUUGGCUCAGGAUGUUUGACCCUAGAACUGCCUAACUGGGCUGGCCUCCAGAGGUCUCCAGUCCCUGUGAGCAGCAGCCAGAAGCUGGAGCUAGUAGAGGAGGCAGUGUGACUGGAACCCCUGGGAGGAGCUGCCUGGCAACUACAUGGAUCUGAAGACGGGAAGUUGAAGUGCUAAAGCUCACAUGACGGAGCCUGGCGUUUCCUGAUCCAAGGGAGCCAAAGCCAGAUCUACGGGCAGGUUGGGCCUUCCAGGGUCUGUAGAAAGUCACUCAAUGAGGAGUCAGUUCACCCAUGAACUAGGGUGGGCCUUGCACAGGCUGACUGGCUUUAGGGAGUUUUGGGUCUAGAAUCCAAAGGAACAGCAGCGCUGAUGUGGAUGCCAGGGUGAGCUAGGUAAUGACCAGAAGGAGUUUAUGUGAGUGUUGAAGGGCAGGGUCCUGGGCCGCAGAGGUCUGAAGAGCAUCCAAGGAAGGGUCCCCAGAGGGUUGCCCUCGGAUGUUACUCUACCUCAGAGUUGGGUGGGAAGCAUCAGGUGGGGAAGGAAGGUGGGUGGGCAGGGGAAGAAGCAGGGAGGCAGAUGAGGGAGCUUGUCAGCUUUCUGGGAAGGAGAGUCCUUAGGGCAGAGGUGUGGUAUAAAAGGAGGCAGACACAAAGCCUCCAGAGGCUCCUCCCCUUUCUCUCCACCUUGAGGGCUGGGGCAUCAGUAUUAUGGGUGAAGUGUGUGUAGUGACGGAUUCUCAGUUCAUAGGUCCUGGAGGUUUAUAGAUCUCAGCCCCCCAGGGCUGAUGGCUCUGUACAGGAAGAAAACCUAACAAAACUAGCAUCAUGGUAGCUCACUGUCUUCCACCUGAUUGUUUCUCAGUGAGCUAGAACCAUCCCUCUGAGGGAGAAAGUGUGGCUCUGGAGGUUCAGCCUACCACCUGCAUGGGGGUCCCUUUAGAUGGUAGAUAGAAAGUAUGUCUGCUUCAGGUUGACCGUGUCUACCCUGGAAUGGGUGGGUUACGGCCGCAAAACUGUGGGAACCUUAGAGCUGCUGUCCCCUUUCUAACCACACUGAAGGGCCACCUGGGGGUGCUAACCUGCAGAAAAUGACUCCCCUGAUCCUAUAACCUUAAUCUUAAACGAAAAGAGGAAACGGACCUGAAACUACUCAGUUGUCUGAGAAUUCCAGAAACUGUUAUAACUACUAACAAUCUGAUAUGUGAGAUUUGCUUUUAGUAAAACAUGUUAAUUGUCUAUAUAAAAACCUAUCAUUAUUAAUGUAAAAUAAUCUUACUAGAGAAGUUUAUACUGUUACAAGUUAGAAGAAACCUUUAUUAAAAUAAGGUUAUUUUCUCUGUGGGUAAAUGUUUGCCUGGUACACUAGCCGACCCUUGUAUGAACAGUUCUACUUAGAAAGCAAAGCCGUGCCUUGAACCUGUGGCUACCGGUGCUUUGGGCUGUCGGCGCUGGUUAGGUGGCUCCCUUUGCUCAGCCUUCACCUAGGUAACCGGCAGUUUCGGAGUCCCGUUUGGCUUCUAGGAGGCAGAACUCCCGGCAGUAGGGGAAACACGCUCUCGCCUUGGUCGUCUCAAACACGGAUGCAUAUUUGAUGGGUACUUCUUCCGGCUUAACCCAAAGGCCAUGUCAGAAUCUGCUGUCAGGAAAUCAUAUGUAGUCCAUGCGUGUCUACCGAACACACACUUCUUUUAAAAAGUGACUAUGAUUCGUGAUAGCCUUUUCUAUAAUUUUAAUAACUUGUACUCUGAUCUGCAAAAGAGAAUCUUAAGCAAGAAUUCUAACUUCUCUACGUAUGUGCCCCUCCCCGCAGAGGGAGAUCCUGACGGUGCCUGCAACCUUGGAGUCUGUUUUUAAAACCUGUGUGUGUGUGUGUGUGUGUGAGAGAGAGAGAGAGAAAGAGAGAGAGAGAGAGAGAGAGAGAGAGAGAGAGAGAGAAUAUGAGAAUAUGCCUGUGACAUCAGGGAACCUUUUGGGAACCUGUUCUCUCCUCCCUCCAUAUAUUUAAAGCAGAAUCUCUCACUUUUCCAAGGCUCUGUAGACUUCCAGCCAUUGGCCGGAAAUUCUCCGUGUGCUACCCCGUAGAAGCUGUUGGGUUAGAUGUGAAUCAGUGCAUCUGGGUUCUGGGGCUCAAAGUCGAGCAUCUGGCUUGCAUGCAAUAAGCAUUUACCUAUCGAGCCACUUUAUCACCCCUCCCCAGCCCCCAGAAUCAGAGGGGAGGGUUUGAGAAUUUCCCCGUCCUCUGUCACUCCAAACUAAUGCUGUUCUCAGGCGUGGGAGUUGGGAAUGGCCUGUGGGUGGUUCUCUUAGUGAAGACAGAGAAGCAGUGCCUCCUGCUCGGCUAGAAGGGGUUGGGGUCUUAGCUCCUGCUUGUAAUGUCAGUGCAAAGGAGCUGAAGCAGGAGGAUUGUCUUCUGUUUGGUACCUGGGCUUCAUAGUGAGUUGUGGUCCAGCCUGAGUGAAACCCCGUGGGGGUAAAGAUAGUGGGAGAAAGAAAGAGGCAAUGGGGGGUUUAAAGAGAACUCUGAGUAACUGAUCCCACAUCUAUGCAGAUAACCAGCCCGCCGGCGCCUUGAUUUCGUCUAGUCUGUAAUGGAGGUCAGGUUCUGGACCUAAGGUUCCUUUGUGACUUUGAAGCCUUAUUGCUAUCAGCAGGAGGGCCUGUGUGUUUAGAAAGUGGUGUUUAAUUUAGGAAGCCCCAGUUUACUGUAAGGAUGGGCCACCUUCCUCUCUUUUACCCUUAUAUUUGUCCCCACGGGCAGACCAUGGACUUGUACAUAAGUCUACAUUCAAUGAUAAGUUGAUGGUUGAAAUGUUUUGGGGCUCUGGAGUGACAGCUAAUGUCCACUCCAAGAUUGAACAUCCCUGGCCACGUUUCUGCCUGUUUCCAUCCAAGUCAGUCCGUGUAACAUGCUGGGAAAGUCAGUUCGUGUAGCAAGCUGGGAUUAUGGCUUCCUGGCUGAAGAGGAAGACUAGGGAGUUUGGGUGGUUUCCGGCCCUUCUCAUCUCACAGUUCAGCCUAUUGUGAGGCAAAGCCGUGUUCUCAGACUUGCUCAAUCUUGGGUGAAGUUUCUCCUGCUGUGGUUUUGCCUCAGGUGUGGUGGGUUAGCUUAUUUGGAACGCUGUAUUAAUCUGUAAAAACCCAUAUUGAGUAGGGGCCAGGUUUGGUGUAGAAUUUACCCACUCUUUUCCUUGAUUUUAGAAUUUCUGAUCCUUUACAAAGUGAGAUGCUUUUUAUAGCCACACUUUGUUUUCCUUUUUUAAUUUUUUAGUCUUCCACUUCCCAACAAGUCAGUCUACCACAGAUCUUAUCACAGCACUCUUCAUAGCUGACACUACAACUACAGACUCUUCAAGCCUCAGGACAGUUACAUAAGGUGACAGAAAACUAGGCUUCGAGAUAGAGCAGAGAGGGGAGGCUGUUGUCUCCUGUGUUUAUAGCUCAGGCUGCCCUUCUUUUAAAAACUGUGACCAGAAAACACAAUCUACUGAAUACAAGCCAGUAAGGGGCUGGUUUGCUUAGCUUAGCUCUGUGAAUGCUUUGCUCCUGUGCAGUGGUGUGUGUGUGUGUGUGUGUGUGUGUGUGUGUGUGUGUGUGUGUGUGUGUGUGUGAAUUGAGUAGACCCCUGGGUUAUUUAUACGUCGUACACAGUCAUUAGAGCUGCGAGGAGUUCUAGCCCUUUGAAAUCCAGUUCUGUUGUGCAAGGCAAUUUUCCCUUUGUCAAUACCAGUGACUAUCAGAACCUGCAGAUGCAGAGGUAACGAGAAGGAAGCAGUGUUCUGGAAGCAGUAGCCAGUUUCCCCAUAGCAGUAGGUGGUCGAAAUGCUUCCUGCGUAUCUGUGUUAGUCAGGGUUCUGCAAGGGGCAAAACUGUCCCGAGACCAGAUGUCUUGGCAGCCCCAAUCUGGUGCUGGAGUCAUAGGGAGAUCCUAGAGAGAUGCCGAGUGGUUUUUAGUCCACAUUGGAAUCCCCAAGAAGCAGAUUCUAACACCAGUAAAAGAAUGGGUCAGGAUAGGUGAGGAGCCUGUCCCUGAGAGUGAGGGCAAGAAGGCAGGAAGCACAAGCUUCCUUCUCCCAUGUCCUUUUAAGAAGGCUAUCACCAGAAGGUGUAGGGCCUAGAUCUAGGGUGGGCCUCCCACCUCAAAUGAUCCAACCAAGAAAUUCUCUCAUAGGCAUGCCCAGAUGCUGGGUUUUUAAUUAGUUCCAGAUGUAGUGAUGCUGACACCAAGAGCAUCCCUCAUUGUAUCUCUUGGGGAAACCAAAUACUUCAAGAUGUGGGACCAGGAGACAUCAGAGCUAGGAGCCUCAGGGUGUAAAGGCAUCAACCACUUCCUGUUGUCUAAGUAAGACUCUGGAAACCCUGCGAUGAUCUGUCCACAUGGAGGCAGGGUAGCCUAGCGGUUAAGAGCAUAGGAUUUACUCCUGUCUCCCACAUUCACCCACCUGUGUCUUACUUAGUUUUCCUGCCUGUGAAAUAAGGAUACUAAAAGCAGCUGUGGAAGAAGAAAAAAAAAAAAAAAAAAAAGAAUGGGUAGGUGGCUUGGAUCUAGCAAAAAGACAUUGUGAGUUACUGUAUCAGUUUUCAUGUGCUGUGUAACAAAGUUACCUAACACUUUUGAACUAACAGGGUUCGGUUGUAGGAUCCUGGAGUGGCUGAGCUUGGCACAACGCAUCUGCAGUCUCACAAGACUGGCACAGGGCAUUGCCUCUGACAGUUACUGGGAACAGUCCUUUGAUGGCUGAAGACCAGAGGUGUCUUUUGUUCCUUGCCUCUUGGGCCUCGCCACAGGGCAGCUCACAGCAUGGCCGCUGGCUUCCUUCAGAGCAGGAGAGAGAGCACAAAUGGAUAGAACCCAUCAUUCCUCCCUAACUGAGCCUUCUCCCAGUGAGAGCCAUAUGAUGCUCUUCUUCUAGGAGUGGGGUACAAAGGCAGGUUUGAUUUAGAAUUUACCCUCUAUUUCUCUAAUCUUAGAAUUUCUGACCCUUAAAGGUGCUAUCAUAUGGACACCAUAAUACAAAGGACUAGUGUUGGGAGACGGGUCACCAGGACCAGAGACAGGCCACUGAGCAGCACCACAGGGAGACCUUUGUCAUUCUGUUUAUCUACCUUUGGACAGACCCCAGGAAGAACACAGUGGCCUUGAACUUGAAGUAGCUGAGAACUACUUAAAUUCCUGGUUCUCCUGCCAUCAGAGCCCAGGUGCCGGGGUUUCAGGUGCCAGCACCACACUCGUUGGGUUGCUGUGGUGUUGCGUGUGUUGUUUUCUCCUUAUAAACCAUCAGACUUCUGCAAUGUUUAGAUGUGUUUACUAAAGCAGGCUUGGGCUAGAGCUUGCUGUGAAGAGCUCCUCCUUGUUCAGCACAGUGACCCGAGUUCAAGUCCCAGAAACAGACGGGUUUAGUAGGGUUUUCCUCACCUUUUCUUUUGAAUUCAGCACCAUAAAGAACGCACUCUCGGGGUUGGGGAUUUAGCUCAGCGGUAGAGUGCUUGCCUAGCAAGCGCAAGGCCCUGGGUUCAGUUCCCAGCUCCGAAAAAAAAAAAAAAAAAAAAAAAAAAAAAAGAACACACUCUCACUCUCAGCCUCCACGGCUUACAUAAACCGCCUAGUGGAUGGGUGGAUGGGCUCUGGCUACAUCAGGCGCUGUUAUGCAAUUUCUGGGGGCGAGAGCCUGUCAGUAGCCCCAGGACACUGAACAUGGCUGUUCCCUGAGGGUGAGCGGGCUCAGGACUGGUUAACUUGGAAGGAGAAACCGAGCCCUCUCUGGCUUGGGAAGGAAGGCCUAGUCCUUUUCCCUUCCUUGCUAAUUUACAGGCAAGAUAUGAAAUUUUCACAGCAAUCAUAAUUAACCAAGUGGAGAGAGGUAUUUGAGGUUGGCCUGAAUUUAGAAUUAGAAGACAAAAAUGUUAUUUAAUUCAGAGAGCUAAUUUUGGAGUUUUUUCCACUCAAGAUUACAGUAGCAUUCUGUACUUUAUCGUGGCAUCUGUCUGCUUGUCUUGUCUUCCCAAAUAGUACAGCAUCAGGUCAGCGUCACAGCUCAGCGGCUCCGCGUCUGGGAUCAGGGUGAAGGUUCUCUCCGUGACCUGCAGAUGGCGCCUUCUUACUCUGUCCACAGAGGGUCUCACCUGGGUGUAUGGGGACAGGGACCAGAGGCCUCUUAUAAGGACAUGUAAAGACAUGUUGGCUCCUGGAUGAAUUGCUUUCUUAGAGGCCUUUCUCCCAGCCCAGCCACGCUGCUGUUAGGUCUUCAGCGUGUGUAUCUAGUAGAAGGGGCAAGGGCAGAAACAUUUUGAGCCUCAUUCCCAACCUUCACAUUCCUGGUUAAUCUUUGUAACAGAUGUGUUGUCACCAUGACGAUUGUAUCAUACAUGUCUCCCUUCCUAAGAACAUCGUGAAAGGAGCACCGUUGUUAUUUUCCCCACAGCUCAGCCGGUUCAGGGUCUCAAAUCCCAGAUCACCCAUCUGGAAUCAUUGGUCCCCACCUCCCUGCAGCCUUCACUGAGUCUCAAGUUCUUAGUGCUCACCCUGAUCCAGUGGGAUGAUGUCUUAUUGAAAUCCCAAGGAGCUCCAUGAAGGACAAGGUUUUGUGUAAGGUGGACUGACAAGUUACAACUCUCGUGCCCUUUGCGGUGUCUUUGAACAGUUGUUGUUGGGCAAUCCUGGUGGGUCAGGCACAGUGGCAGCCUUAAUGUUAGCCGCCAAGCUGACUGUACCUGGUCACAGGAGUCAGGAAGAUCUGGGUCCAGCACUCCACCCACCCACUCAUCCACUGUGCUCAUCAACACGUGUUUACGGGGUACCACUCACGUGCUGCAUUACAUAGUUCAAGACCAGCCAUGGAGCUCAGACAAAUCCUGCUCGUCCUCAGGUGCCAAAAAGACCAACCAUAAUCUCUGUGGAAAGUCUAGGAAAGUCAGGGUAAGGCAGCCCACUGCCCCUGACAGUUAACGUCUGUCCUUUCAAAUCCCAAGCCACAGGAAAGCCAUGAGAUUAGUUUUGGAUAUUGUUCAUGCUACGUAAAUGAUGAACUGUGUUGGUCAGGUUACUCUGCUUGUCCAAACUUGGUCGACUUCCUGUCAAUUGAGCAGGUUAGGUUGUAGCGUCUGAGGCCAUGCCUAACUACAGGGGCAGUGUACCAUUCUCCCCGUGGGAGCUGUAGCCCACUGCACCCCCCUCUGCUCCCCACACCCACAGGUCCAAUCGGACUUUCCCCAGGCAGAUUUUGCUCAAGAUGAGAGGUCUCUGGUACAGUCUAGCUGUCCCCUCUCCAGGUCCUCCAGCCUUCCAUCCAUUCCUCCGCAGUGGCUUGCACCAUUAGUUCCUGGCAAAAGGAGGGUGACUCUCAGACACUUAAAACUUUAUGCCUUUAAUUGAUUUUGGAAAUCCACUUAAAAUUAAUCUCACGAUCUUGCACCAGUGAGAAUUUAAAUGACCCCAGCACUGCUCAUUAAAUGGUCCAUCUGGGGGCUGGAGAGAUGGCUCAGCGGUUAAGAGCACUGACUGCUCUUCCAAAGGUCCUGAGUUCAAAUCCCAGCAACCACAUGGUGGCUUACAACCAUCUGUAAUGAUAUCUGAUGCCCUCUUCUGGUGUGUCUGAACAGCUACAGUGUACUUAUAUAUAAUAAAUAAAUAAAUCUUUAAAAAAAAAUGGUCCAUCUGAAGAUUUGCCAGAAUACUAGAGUGACAUUUGUUUCAAGUCUGACAGCCAAGUGUUCUCAUGUCAGUCAAGUUUAGUUUACUGAGAAGACGGCUGGCUGCUGACUGGCUGUUUACCUGAUUCAUGCUUAUUUCCCAGGGACAUUAGUUCUCUUUUCUUCUCCUCCUCUUCUCUCCACCUCUCUACUUCCUCUUCCUCCUCCUCCUCUUCUUUUUCUUUCUUCCUUCCUUUCUCUCUCUCUCUCUCUCUCUCUCUCUUUUUUUUUUUUUUUUUUUUUAGAUGAAGUCUCACUGUGUUAGCCAGCGUGGCCUCCGGGUCCUGACCCUGGAUGGCUCUGGCUUCAGCCUCCAGAGUGGCUCAGACUACAGGUGCAUGCCACUGCUGUGGGCUAGGGAUGAUUUCCGUUACACAUCUUACCACCCUUAAGUUUUGAUGGUAAAUUAUAAAAUCAGUAACUCCAAAACUAAACUAAGUACUUCAGUUUGGUAUCGUUACUUACGCCAGCUCUGUUGAGUAUUACCUUUUCCAGUCUUUCUAGAACAUUUCAAGGGUGAUGCUGUUAUUGGCUCAUUUUUUAGACAAAGGUGACUUCUCUUUAUAGAAUUAAUAAGCAUCAUAGAAUCUUCUAGCUUUAGAGGUUUGAUUCUGGGGUUCUCAAAGCCCAUGUGAAGAAGUGACCUGUGAACCUUGCCUUGCGUUUCUCUGGUGAGUAGCUGAGAUCGGUGGGUGAUGGUAUGGACUCAGAGUGUGGGCAGAUGUGGGCAGAGCUGGGGCUAAGCACAGACCUCCUAUCCCAGUCUGCAUAACUGAGCUCAGAGGACACUGGGAGGCAGAGCAGAUCUGCACCAGUGCUGUCCAUUGAUGACCACCAGGGGGAAGUAACUUCCCCUGUGUUCUCCACAGAUCCACUGGUUGACUGAAGACUGUCUAGGCUUGCCUUUCUCUAAAGGAAGAGAGGAGCAGUCAUACCCAGAGUCGCAAAGACGAGUUUGCCAUUUCAGCCUCAAAGGGGAGAGAGCACCCCAUCUGCUAGCAGGAGCCUGGCAAGUAGGAAGCUGUUCCUGCUGCCCUUCACAGCCAGGGACUGGUCUGGCUACUGGUCGGUCUCCAGGGUGGGAGAACAGAGUCUGCCUGAAGGGGAGCCCUCCUAACAGAGUGACCCUCCUGCCCAGCUGUGCCCUGGCAUUCUGUGUGUGUGUGUGUGUGUGUGUGUGUGUGUGUGUGUGUGUGUGUGUAGUAGGUCACUUGUCUGACAUGGGCAAUGUCCUGGGUUCCAUGCCGGCACCAUGACCCACAAUAAAAGAGCAGAGAAAUUCUCCCUCGUGAAAACAUACGCUGUUUUGGAAACACCAGGCCUUCUGAGCAGUACACUGGAGCACUUUAAAUUUUUUAUGAUUACUUUCAAAAGGGAGAGCUGUGCCCUCGGAUAAGUGUGCUUAGACUUGCUCACUCUCAUUGCCCUAGAACAAUUUCCAGAAUCUUCACUGCCCAGGUCACACUGUGACAUCCUCCGGGGCUGGGGCUGAGGCCCUGGGAGGCACAGGUUGGUUUUAGCUUCCUUCAUGCUUCCUGAACUACGAGUCUCUGGUAGGCAGGGUCAGCGUCUUUAAGACCCGGCAGCUCCUAAAAACUGAGCAGACCCCAUCCCCUGCCGAGGGUUGGAGAGGGACUCAGGGCCCGUUUGCUCAGGUGUGAGGCUGCUUUCUAGACCAGGUGAGUCUGAGGCGGGGCUUUCAGGGCAGGCGCUGAGCAAGGUGGACGGUGGCAGAGGGCUGUGCGUCAGGCAGGGCCUCAGGCACAGGACCGACAGUGGGGCUGAGGACAGGGAACAUCCUGUGCCUCAGAAGGAGCUGCAGCUUCUCCUGAGAGUACAAGCAGCGCCCUCAUCGCACCUGAAGAGUUUCCCUAGCUGAAAUACUUGAGACCAGAGAUGGCCGAGGCUGGGUUGGGAGCUCUUGUGACUGGGAUACUUGUGUAGGCAUUACUAGUUGAACAGCCUUAAAAACCCAAUGACAGCAGUUUGGAUUCUGAGGUUGAGGAAGAUCUACCUGCCUCUGGUGAGAGAGCUACUGGGACGGUGCAUGGGUUGGGAGUGCUCACUGGGAGGCCGUGAGAAUGAGAAGAACUCUCAUGGUGGCAUUUGUGAUGGCAUCGAAGAUGGAGGCCACUUAAACACUGACCAGUCUCCAUCGGGCUCUCGGGGUAAUGCCAGAGAUGUGUCCUCCCGGUUCCAUGUGGCUCCAUCGUUGGUCACUGUUGAGUGUUUGUCUCCUCAUUUUCUGGUCACUUGUUGCCUUUUCCUCAGCAGCGUCUCCCACGCAGGGGCUUCUUGCUGCAUAGAAUUAACCUGGCUGGCUCUCGGGAGAGCAGGAAUACGGUAAAGAUGCGCACACACACAUGCGCUGGAACCCACCCUUCCUUAUGCAUGAGCACUUCUGCAGCCAGAGUUGUACACCUCAAGGGCCACAGUGUGUACAGACUGUGAAGCUGAGCUCUGAGACGGGCAGGCUGAACUCUGGCCCUGGCUGUGUCACCCGUGGGGAGUCACUUACCCCCUCUAUGACAGUCGCCAUGCAGGAUUUCUGAGGAUGGAAGGAGCCAGGACAGAGCACAGAGAGUCAUGCCAGAUGCACAGCAGAUGUGUAGCAGAUUUUAUUAUACUUAGUAUCAAAAUGCAAACACAAUGGGGCCCGAUGUUUCAGGCCGUGUGUGUGUGUGUGUGUGUGUGUGUGUGUGUGUGUGUGUGUGUGUGUGUUGUGGAUCAGUGGGAGUAAAACUAUCAUAAAAAUGAAAAAUAUCACUCAUUUCCCCUUGGCUAGGGUCUCACUAUGUAGUCCUGGCUAGCCUAGAACUUGCUACUUAGACCAGGCUGGCCUUGAACUCACAGAGGUCUGCCUGCUUCUGCCUCCUGAAAGCUGGGAUUAAAAACUAUCCACAGUAUUAUAAGUAUUGCAUUUUGAAGUCUGUUAAAUGGUAAUCCUUAUUUUCCCGAGCCUACCUGCAGUUUUAGGAUGUGUGUGUGACUUCCACAUUUCCAGACACCUAGAACACUGUAAAACUCUUGUCACUUGUAAACACCUGGAACAAAGUGCAGUUAGGGGACUUUGUUAAAAGGCUGUUUAAUCUGAAAUGUGCUUCGGCCCAGUUACUUAGGAACCGAGGAGUGUUUUUAAAAAUCGGGUGCCGAGAACACAGCAGCCAUAGAGACGCCAUGAGCAGUAAGUACUGUAGAUAUAAUUAAAAAUAAAUGCUAAUGCUUUGUGGAAGGUUUUCCCUUCCCUCCCUCUUUGCCCCUUUCUUCCUCCGAGUCCCUUUCUUUCUUCCUUCGCUUCUCUCUCAGAACAGUAUCUCUGCUAUUCCUCCACCUCCCCCGCCAGCCUCUAGCCCCUUGAUGGAAAAUGGCUGGGUGUCCUUUGCCAUGGCUUGUCCUUGGAGGGCCCGAGCAGCUGUGGCACUUAUCUCUGCGUGCCAUCGUGGUUUGCAUGAGGCUGCUCUAGGAAGGCCACUCUCCCCUAUUGGUGUGCACCUGCAAAGAUGACUGUCCGUAGCCAGCAUGCCCGUGGCUUCACAAUAUUCAAGGCCCCUGCUGCGGUUUUAAUUAAAGUAGUCAGUCUUAAAUGCCCUUCUUACCCCUGCAGCACUGUGCCCCCAAACAGCCUGGCCGUAGUCAGCGCUGCAAGAUGACAGGUCACAGAGGUGCCUGCAGGGCUAAAGAGUGGAGGGGGGCCUUUGGCGCAGCGGGAUCCAUACUCAGUCCUUGGGGGUCCCCAUGAUUCAUCCAUCCAUCUUCCGUAGGCCAGAGAGACAACUGAUUAAGCUGAGUCCGGCAGACAGUUUCUCAUCUGCACCGUGCUGGCUGCAGAGGUAAGAGGCAGCACGCAGGCGAGGGCGGGAUGUCUGGAAUGCCCAGCUCAUCUACACUGUGGGCCGUACCAGCCGUAGAUUACUCCAUUUGUGUAGAUUGCUCUGUGAGUCAAAGGGUAAUUACUAAAGUAGUCAUAAAACUAAAACUGCAGUGUUUACCAAAACUCUGCUUCACCUUUCCUCAGCGCUUCCUUAGCGGUGGCGUCUGGGCCGCACCGUGUGCUGUUUUCAUAGGUAUUUAGGAGUCUGGUGGGUAGGGAUAAGUGCAGGUGCCGGGUAGCGUGUGCCGUGUUUACAAGCUGCAGAGUGCUGUGCUAAGACUCUGCUGCCUGCCUUUGCGUGGUGCGGUGGGCCUGGGCUCUGCAUUUCUUUGGCUGUGUGAGGUUCCCGUGACACAGUCAGCUUAGUCCACUUAUGAGCGUCAGCAUCUUUGGGGAGAUUUCCUUACUACAGUGAUGUGCUCACCAUCCUCCCACGGACGUCUCUGUUUAUGUGUGUAAAUGCAUUUCUGUAUUUAUGGAGGGAGGGAUGGCUGCUUAACAGUCUCUGCCAGUUUCUUCUCUCCACCGUGUCACCAUAUGGCUGGGUUUACAUUGCUGUGGAAUCCUAUCCCUUGUCAUUUUGGAUCUUUGACAGAUGGGAAAGAGCUUGUUUUAAGUAACCUGGGCUUAAUCAGGAAUAGGCUCGACCAUCUGAGCAGGCUCCCUGGCCGCUUGUCAUGUUGUCUCUGUAAAACGUUUUUGACAUUUUCUGUUUUUCUGGUGCAGUUUUGUCCUGUGACUAAGGAUUUAAGAGAAAGCUGGCACCCUUGGCCUUUGACUCACUGGUGAUGGCAGCCUCACAGAGAGAGCUCCUUCAGUUGUGCAUCUUAUGUCACAGACAUGCAGGGAGUGUUUUCUUCCGGAGCUUUAGUGUCUGCCUUUCUACUUUGCUAUAGGAAGGGGGUUAGCUGUCUGUCCAUCUGUCACCUGUGGCUCGUCCCCCGUAGUCUUGUAUCAGAACCCCUGAAGCCUUGUUACUCUCUCUGUCCAUUUCUGCACCAGCUUUGUACUGACUUGUGACUGCACUGGCUUAGCCUUGUGUUAACAGGUCUGACUAUCUCCUGUUUCCCUCUUUGUCCUUUGUCCAUCCUCCCUUCUCUCACACAAACCUAAGUGCAUUACGUAAGAGCGGGGCUAGUGAGGUGCUGCAGCUGGUAAGGGUGAUCGCCACCAAGCUGAUGACUGAAGCUCUACUCUCACGGCAUGUGUGCACACACAGACACACACACGUGCAUAGAUCACACACAGACACACACGUGCAAACAAUCACACACAGACACACACAAGCACACACACAUGCACAUGCAUACAGUCACACACAGACACACACGUGCAAACAAUCACACACAGACACACACGUGCAUACAAUCACACAUAGAUGUACAUAUCACACACGCACACACAUGCCAUUCGCACACACAUAUCCACAUACACACUAAAUAAAUGUAAUAAAGAAAAUUAGAACUUAGUACUUUUUUAUUUUUACUUUUUCUUUCCCAUGAAGGAAGUUUCUUUUUCUGUCUUGACUCUAACCCAGCCCUCGUGCCAGCGCUUCCUGCUGUUUCUCACCGCAGAGUGUCCCUGAAGCGCUUCGGACAACCUAUUCUGGCUUUAGUGUGUGUUCAGACUGCAGUAUUCCGAAGGCACUGAGGUAUCUCGUGGGCAGGACUCCAGUGUAAACACAAGAGUCAUCCGCGCUUUGUGUACACUGUCUUACACGGGGCCCCAGGGUAGCUUUCUAGGAUAUUUUUAUUGUAUCUGUGUUUCCAUGCCAACCCUUCCCUCCAGUGUUGCAGUUUUCUCUUGUGUUAUGUCAGUGUUGGGAAGGCUUUGGGUGAGAAACUGUCAGAUUUCUGAUUCUGCACCAAGGGUGCUUGGAUGACUAGUCUGCAGUGUUCAGAUGCAUAACCAUAUCACGUGCAAAUGGUGACUCGGCCAUCAUCUAUAACAUACGUGUUCUGGUGUCUGGUCUCCUGUGCAAACAGUACCACGGCAUUAGAUGACGGAUAUAGCAGGCAGACACUCUGCUUUACAGAAGUGCGCUAAUGCUUGUCCGUGGACUGAAAUGUGGAACACCUUGUGGUAGAUGAGCUCUCCGCCAUCUCUGGUGAACACUCUCCUGCUUUAGACCUGCUGCAGGCUAAAAGUACUUCUGGGUUUCUUCUCUGGUGUUUUAUAGAGGUCCUAAUAAGGCACACAGGCCCUUAGAAAGUGCCUUCAGGAUUGUUCUAAGAAUGUCCUAUGAACGACAUGUCCCCACCUGCAGACUCGAGCUACCUAGUGCAACUCUGUGCACCCAGAUAGUAAUGUUCCGUGCCUGCCAUUCAGGGCAAUCACCAGAAGCCAGAAGUGGCCACAAGGAUUUGAACUGUGGCAGUUGGGAUUGGGAAGUGAGGGUUACAGUUUUAUUAUUUUAAGUCAUUUUAAUUUGAACCCCAACACUGCACUGAGCCUUGUAGCUGUGCUUCUGAGAGCUACCGAAUCUUUCAUUUUCAGACUAGUUCAUUUUCAUUGCAACGGCACCUAUCACCUGCAGAAGUUGAGACCAGCCCCAAAUCACAGCAAAUUCAAACCAAACCCAGCCUGGAAAUCUAGGCUUCUUAGUCUUAACAGAUUCUUUUUUUUUUUUUAGAUUUAUUUAUUUUAUUAUAUACGAGUACACUGUAGCUGUCUUCAGACAAGGCUUCUUACUCUUGGUCAUGCCAUCCUCCCGUGCCUGCCCCACUUUCUUCCUCUCUCUCCACUUCCUCUCUGUAACCCCAGCCGCAGUGUUUGCACCCCAGUGAACAGCAGGGGCUGCACGGACUUCUUCACUAGGCUGGGUUGGCCCAGGUGUUUGUGCAGGCAUUGAAUUUUUGGCUAAGGUCACUGCACUCUAGUUCCAGUGGAAUCCCCAGUCCCCUGACUGUGGCUCAGAUCCUGGGUCCCGAGGCCCUGCUUCUGCCCCACUGGCAGUCAGCCUACUGGGCCCUUCUGUUGUGAAUCACAUGAGCGCCCUAUGGCGGGAGCACCGUGAGCCCAUGGUGAUAGAAUAGAGAAGACAGCCAGGCAUGGUGGUGUAUGCCUACAGUGUCAGCCCUCUGGGGACCAAGGCGGGAGAAUAGGGAGUUCAAGGCCACUCUGGGCCACACAGGACCUGCUGUCAAACUGGAAGGAGGGCUUCUGGGAAGUGGCUGAGACUCCAUCAGUGCAGUUUCCUCGGGAUGGAGAUACCAGGGCCUCACGCACACAUCCACAUGUUGCUUCUCCCCUUCCUCUAGGCUGUGUUAGCCUCUCCUGGGAGGUGGGAAAGACCACCUCAGAUGGAAAGGUCAGAGACGGUGUAGUAAUGCAGUCGCAUGGCCUCCACUCGGUUCAGUUGCCCCUGUCAAUGAGGACCUGCCACUGUAGGUCAGGGAGCUUGUGUCGUAGGUGCAGAAACGUCUCCAAAGGCGCGUGUCAAAGCUUUGCAUAGAGCUUCAACACUGAGGCGGUUUCCCUCCUUGGAUGUUCCUUUGUGUUCCCUGCCUGGCAGCACACUCUCCAAGCUUUUCCCACUUAGUGUUGGUAAGUUCAUCCCUCGAUGCUUUUGUCUUAAGAUGGAGGAAAUACACCACUGAGAGUGUAACCUGAAAAGAUGGGACCUGUCCCCGUCCCCUGGUGCAUACCACCCUUCCUCCUCCCCUUCCCCUCCAUCCUCCCCCAGCUCUGUCCAUCCCCCUCCCUCCCUGGCCUCCAUGAGAUGAGUUGCUUCCCUCCACUGUCCUUCCCACAAUGCACCAUGAGCUGAACCCUGGAACCCACGGGCCGACAUAAACCUCUCUGGCUUAUAAUUUAACGUUGGCGUUCUCAGGUAUUUCAUCCCUGGGAAGGAGAUGAGUGCAUUGUUCUUCCUCACAGCCAGCAGAGCCUGUGUGCCGUCCUCUGUGACCAGUUAAGAUGUCAUCCUUGGCUGUGACAGGGACCCAGUCUCCUGGGAACCAGAGCUAACUCAGUCUCCUUGAGAGGCUUAGAUGGCAGCAGCCCCCUGCAGAGCGGCCGCUGGCUGCCCCAAUGUUGAGUGAGUGAGUGAGCAGAAGGCAGAAGGUGUGUUGGUGAAAGGUCAUACACAGCUGGAGAAGGUUCUCCCAGCAGCCAUGCUCUGCCUUGUUUUCAUGAUGAGGGAAAAGCCUUGAGGUGCAUAGAGCUUCAACACUGAGACGGUUUCCCUCCUCUUAGAUGCUCCUUUGUGUUCCCUGCCUGGCAGCACACUUUCCAAGCUUUUCCCACUUCUGUGGGUGGAGCAGUCUAGGCUUGUGGAGGGACCGUCACUUGUUUGGUAUUGCACAGCCAAGUAGUGGGAGCGGGUGUGAAUCCCGGUUGUUUUAUUCCAGAGUCUUACGACCCCUUACCAGCAGCCUGCACUGGUCUGUACUGAGUCUAACCUCAGGAUCCCUGGAGCAUCCCUAUUCCCUAAUGAGGACACUAAAGCCUGGGGAAUUGGUCCACAGACAACUGCAUCCUUCUUUCUGAAGCUUGGUUGCUUCUGUCACUGUCCCCUACCCUGUGUCCUGCUCCAGGCCUCCUGUGAUGGUCAGUGCCAGCUGUCAACUCGUAGAAUCCUGGAUCAGCCGGAUGGUGGUUCUCUGGGCAUGCCUGCGGGUGCUGAUCUUGGCUAUGUUAACAGAAGUGAUAAGGCCUGCCCACUGUGAGCAGCACCAUCCCCUGGCUGGGACCCCAACUGUGCAGCAGAGACAGGAGCAAGCAGCUGUGUUCCUCAUUCUCUGCUGCCAGCUUGGGAUGUGAUGUGACCAGUUGUCCCCAGCUGCUGUCACCAUGACUUCCCCACUAUGUUCAACUGUACCUUGAACUGUGAAUCAUAAUAAGCCCUUUCUCCCUUAGCUUUUGUCCACACUCACCAUAGCAAUGUGAAAAGAAACUCCCAUAUUACACUUUAGGGAUCUCAAGGCUCCCUAAAAGGCAUUCGUUCCCCUCUGUUUCCACAGAACGCUAUUUUUCUCUGACUACAAGAUUGUUCUCUGUGUGUGUGUGUGUGUGUGUGUGUGUGUGUGUGUGUGUGUGUGUGUGUGUUUGCAGCUUCUGUAGUCUCUUGUGAGAGCCAUUCAGGGCCUUGUUGCGUGUAAUAAUUAAAAAUCAAUCCAUGCUAUCAUGGGCUACUGUCUGGCCCUAGGCGGUCUCCCGCCCCCAUGCAGCGGAUCCAACUUCCUAUGGUUCGCUUACUGCUGAACCGCUGGUUUCCCGUCAUCCGUUCCCUGUGGCUAGUCUGCUACAACUUGCUCUAAACCCUGAGCCCCGUAUAAAGAAAACUCCAGAGGCCUGUAAAUUAUCAGUUAGAUUUAUAACAGUAAAUUCUCAACUCACAAAACGCCCACACAAAGAACUGAAAGCUCAAUUGAUAUUGGUACAAGCUGCCCGCCUAGACUGGACAAACCUCUUGACCUUAUUGCCCUUGUAUGACACUCAUAGCCACCUGUGUCUACUUCAAGCCAUGUUUGUCCUCUUCCUCCAUCUUUCUCUGUCCUUCUCCCUAUCUGUCACCUGCCCUCACCUGCGUGCGUGUUGACGCAGUCCCCUGGGCCUGCGUCUGUUCAGCUGCUGGCUGCUUGUUUUAGGAGGAUCGAUUUCUGAUUUAAGGGCUAGGACAGCCCUCAUCAGUCUGUCGGGAACAGCUCUGCUCCUUUACUCAUUGCCCGCUGUGCCGAAUAACAAAUAAGUGCACACUUCCCCGUCCCCCCUUUCUGAUCCCAGAGUUAAAGUGUGUGGACUUUCCAUUACUCUGGGACUCUGGCUCUGCCCGGCAUUGGCCACUCUGGGGCAUAGCCCAUUCCUCUGGCUGAAGCCUCCAUCCGUGAGUGCACCUGGCUCAGCAUCUAGACAGUUUCCAUCUGUUCACUGAGCAUAGCCUCUGGAGACAGUCCUGUAACAGAGGGGUCUCUCCUGCCUCUACAGAUAGUCCACUGCCCCAGUGGGCUCAGUCAGCCCAGGCUGCUGAGAGCCACUGUGAGUGAUGGGGAAAGUGGCAGGUGUAUUAGCCUUGCCUGUGGGUCUAACUCCCCAGAAGGAAGACGGCGACUGUGGGUGGCCCAGACAGGUACUAUUGACUGUUGUGUCGUGUUGUUUAGGGACAUCCUGACCUGACAGUGGCAGACACUGUCAACCCAUGGCAGUUGGGUGAGGACCAGUUAGUAUUAGACUGAAACUGUUAAACUUGCCAAUACAUAGCAUUUUUACCAGGAAUUGAGUGUGUCCCUAUUGUGCCUCUUUCUGACUAGGUUUCUCAGAGCUCAUCCUGUAAGUGACCUAUUGGGACCUAGCAAGGUAGAGACCGUCAGCUGCAGGCCACAGAUUUUGUAGACACGCAGGCCUGGAGGUUUAGGCUCUUCUCUUGGGAAGGGUGCAAACGUUCUUCUUCUACUGUGAACUCUGUUGGCAGCAGGCAGCCCCUAUCCAUGUCCCUUCCGUGGACCUAGGGCCACAGCCCCGUCCCAUGUCCUCGGCACAUGCUAGAUACCGCCACCAGGGACUAUCGUGGGAGUGCUGCUUUGCCUGACUGAAAAGCCAUGUCCCAGCAUGGGCACCUAGAGCGUUCAGGAGGAUGUGCAUAGGUUAUACUCACACGGUACAGCACUGUACGUAAGGGGCCUUAUGUGUCUGAGGGCUCGUCCUAGAACCAUUUUCUUUUAGCUGCUUCUCGAUGAUUGUGUGGGGGCAGAUAAUCUUCUAGUCCUCUUGUAACCUUCCUUCAGAGUCCCUCCCACUCAGGGACCAUCAAGGAUGCUACAGGCCAGCCACAGACCAGGCGCCAACAGGACACAAUACACAGAGCUCCACCACCUGGGCACAUCAGAGUGGGGGUCGGGGGACGUGAGUGCCAGGAUGGUCAGCAGUGUGGAGACAGCACUCACUCACAGAAAAGCAGUUCAGAAGGAAUCAGAUUGUGCUGCUCUCCUUGCUGCCCCUUUGGCAUUAGAGUACAUGAGGCUUUUUAACCAUACCCUUACUGACUCAUUCACAGAUGUUUAUGCAUCCACUUUGGCGGCAAACGUACACAGGAACUCAAAGCCAGGCGUGCCCUCACAGGAAGUGCAUUUCCAUGAGAGUCGAGUGCUAGCUUAGGAUAUGUUAGUCACACACGAUCAUUGCCAUGCGUAAAGUGUGUCAUCAGAAGGUGACUUUUAAGCCGAGGUCUGGGGGAUAUAAGGAGCCUGGUAGAGGGAGGGAUUUGCCCCAAGGCCACUGGCCAAACAAUCAUGAUGAGUUCACAGAGUGGUGCCUGUAGGAGCAGAAGGCAGUAAACAUAGGCUGCAUGCAAGUACUGAGGAGUCUGCACCUGCGGGGCUCUCCAGAAAUGGACUGGGCAGAGCAGGUGCAGGGAGAGGUGAGAUGUCCCGUGAAGGUACACCUGCUGUGACUGUGGGGACCUGUCACCUGCCUCCCACCAGCACACAGCCCUGCUGGGAUUGAUUGGCAGGAGGCCUGAGAACCAGUGGGGCCGGUGAUGGCAACAUCAGCCUCAGGACUCGUGCAGACGAGAUUGUCCAUGCUGGAGAAGCCUCUUCCGACUCCCAGCCAUGCUUAGAGCUUGCUUCUUCUCCUGCUGCGCUGCCAGCUUUUGCUUUGAGUAGUCUUGAAGCUAGAGAUUCAUCAGGUAAAUGCAAACUUAGAGUUGGUAAAAAUGACCCUUUUGGUUUUCAGUAUUAAACACACCUCUGUCACUAUAACAAAAUAUCUGAAAUACUCAACUUGUAAGAAGGAAGGUUCAAGGGGCUGGGGAUUUAGCUCAGUGGUAGGGCGCUUGCCUAGGAAGCACAAGGCCCUGGGUUCGGUCCCCAGCUCCGAAAAAAAGAACCAAAAAAAAAAAAAAAAAGAAGGAAGGUUCAAAACAGAGAAGGUCUGAAUGGGGCAGGGAAAGAGGGAAAGCAGGGAGACAAGGGAGGGGAAACUGUGGUCAGGAUAUAAUAAAUAUAUAUAUUAUAUAUGUCACAUAAUUAUAUAUGUAUAUACACAUGCACACAUGUAUGUAUGUAUAAUAUACAUAUAUUCAUAUAUAUGUAGUGUAUACAUAUGUAAUAUACAUAUAAUUUAUACACACACACACACACACACACACACACACACACACACAAAUAUACAGAAGGUUUGUUUUCCUCUUAAGCUUCAGUGCCCCAUUGGUGAUCAGGUCUGCCUGUUGGUUUUGGCUCUCUAGGAGGGUGCUAGACAGCAGUGAUGGGGAGUUUGCAGUAGAGCAAAACUGUUCAACUCAGGACCAGAAGGCAGCUGUAAGGAAGAGAAUGAGGCCAAGGCCCAACAUGUCUCCUCCUCCCCAGGGCUCCACACCUCCCAGCAGAGCCACGCCUAGGGACCAAGCCCUUGACCUAUGGCCUUUGUGAGGCACCUUGGCUUUGAGCUUCGAGAGCAGGACUGUCCCAGGACUCCUGUCACUCUCACCAGUCACUCUCCUUGUGUCACCUAUUUGGUUUCUGUUUGUCUCAAACAAUCUACGUUCUGUACUUCUUACAAAGUAUUUUUGAAAAUUGCUUCUUCCCCACUUCCAGGAACUCAGCCGUUAAGAUAUCAUUUCUCUCUGUUUGAGUGGCUCCUGUUCAGGUGAUGUCCUGGUCUAAUGCAAGCCUGUGCACAGACAAAGUGCCAUUGAUGUCUCUUGUUGGCUUCUCUAGCCAGCGAGUGACCCUGGAAGUGCUCGUACCAUUGGCUCUUGCUGUUUUUGAUAAGAGGUAAAGCCUGGGAAGACCUGAGGGAAAUCGAUGGAAAUAAUCACCAGAGUGAGCCAAAAGGCGAUCAUCAGAAACUGCUUACAUUCUUAAACAUCCUGCUUUAAGAUGUUUCUUUUUUAAAAGUUAUUUUGGAUAAGAAUAACUUAUAAGUGAUUUAAUAAGAGUGUGUACAGUUUAUAUAAAAUAUUUUGACAUAUCGCAGCAUGACCCUGUCUUGGUACUUGGUUUUGGUCCUCAGGCCGUUGUCUGAGGCAAAGCUGUUAGGGACCCAUGAGGUUCCUCUGAAGUCUGCUGGGAUCAGGCUCAGCUAGGAAAGCCUGCGUGGUACAGGUUAACUCACGGGCUGCCCAGGGCAAGCAGGCACACACUUCUGCAGUGCUCUGCAGACACCUGACUGGUAAAGUAAGCAGGUGACCGACGCAGCGUUCAAGGCAGUGAUGGUCUUCAGGUACUUUCCUCUUUUGACUGACACCCUGUGCAUCCUGGGUAAUUUCUCCUACUGUCCCUAAUUACACCCACUCACCUAGCAAUUUGACAGAAACCCCAAUAGGUAUGAACAUUAACAGGAUAGUCUUCACAGAACCUGGCUUUCCACAGCGGUCAGCACGGCUGAAGAGUGGGUCUUAGCAGAAAACCCUUAGCUAGGGAAAACCCUCUGCCAGAGGGAUGUGUCUGAGGUGCCAUUUGCAAGAACGAAGUGGAGGUCUCGUGCUAACCAUUUGAGUGCCAGUUUUCUUGGAGUUGGUUGGAACACUCAGAAAGAUGCUGCUGUUGAAGCUGAGUUUCCCAAUCUGAAGGUGUUUGGUGAAUUCACAGGAAAGCAGCCAGGCUGGGAUCACUAAUGUGGCUGGGCUCUGAACGUCUUCUGGCGGCCAGAGAGUGAUCUCAGUACAGGGUGAGACUUCUACCCCUAAAGUUUGGCAUUAGAUUUAAAUUCAACAAAUUCCUGCAUCAUGCAUAGAGUGCCUUCCAGUGUCUCUCCAAGCGAUCUUAGAGCAGCCCAUUUCUUGGGGAUCAAAUUGUUGCUGCAGCCACCAGGUAGCAGGGGAGCCACCAGAAGGCUGUCCCAAGGUACCUGAGGUAUACACUGAAGCUCUUGGUUAGGCCUCCUUAUUUAUGAUGGUUGUCAUGACCCAUGAACCUUGCUUCUAUGUGCAGGGUGCGUGCAUGCAUAUUUGUAUGUGUGCAUGAAACAGGACGGAAUACUGUGUUAAAUGGACAAACUUCAGUUCUCUGCCUUGGCUGCUCUGGCCAUGUAGUCUCUAAAUAAUAGAAUGCCAGAAGCUUAAACAACAGAGCUAAUUUCUCUCUCUCUCUCUCUCUCUCUCUCUCUCUCUCUCUCUCUCUCUCUCUCUCAUAAUUACAUUGUGGGUUUUUUAAAGGUUUAUCUACUUAUUUACAUAUAAAGUGUUUUGUCUGUAUGUGCAUGUGUCCCCAGAAUUUUCUCUUUAUUUUGAAGUCUGGAAGUCUGAGAUCUAGGCAUCAGCAGGUUAAUUCUUGUUGAGGGCCGCUUCCUGUCCCCUGCCCUCACAGGCAGUCCAUCUGGGCACACCACUCUGUGUACCCUACCCUUUCUGUCCCCUGGAAAUACACGUUGAAUUCAGACCCACGUAAUGACUGUUUGAACUUUACUCUUCACAGGACUGUAAGCAGUCAGUCCACAGCCCUGGCAGUGAGGGUUCCAGGCCAGAUGGGAAGGAAGCUGUGUAAUAGCCACCUGCACCACCGCUCUAACCACGCACCCCUCAGACACAACUGAAGAGCUGAGGAUUUGUCUGGCUCAUGGUUUCAGGGGAUACCAUCCACAUGGUGGGGCAGUGGUGGUAGAAGUGGGCAGUCUGUAGCAGUAGAGACAUGUGACAGUGGUUCUCAGGUCUCUGCAGGUCAGAAAGCAGAACUCUGUGUCUGAAGUGUGCAAUGGCUGCUGCCUCCAAGGCCCACCCUGGCCGUGCAUAGGCUAGGCCACCUGUCACCAACCUCCCCAGACAGUGCUGGCAGCUGGGGACCAGGUGUUCAAACACGAGACCUGUGGAUGACCUUGCACACGGCAAACUAUAACUGGGGACAGGGGAUCAUGGAUUCAGCUCAACUGUGAUGGUGACCUGAACUCUCCAUGGGCAUGGUCAGAAUACCUGCGGCACGUAAUCAGCUAACAGUAUGGUUUCUAAAGUGAAUAACAGGUAGUUCUCCCCUGAAUGCUCUUAGCAAUCUCCCCGGUGUCCACACGGCUAGUCCUUGGCUCUCUUCUUCACCUUCUCCCCAGCUGCACAUGGAGUGCCGUGUGUCUGAAGAUGUCCACGUUCCCACGACUGCCCGGGCACAGCCUCUUUUCUAAACUCUAGUUUUAUCCUAAAAGGAUGUGUGCUGAGGGAGGAGUUGCUGCACAUGGGUGCAGUGUCCCCCAGAAGCCAGAAGAGGGUGUAAGAUCCUCUAGAACUGUUCGGGAUGCCGUGAGCUGCUAGAGGGAGCUCAGGUCCCCUGUAAGAGCAGUGCAUGCCUUUAACCACUAAGCCAUCUCUCCAGCUCCCAAUGGCCUUAGCGUAUUUUUAAAGAUAUAUUUGUUUUGUUUAUGUUUCGCCUACAAAUAUGUGUGUAUAUGUACCACCUGUAUGCCUGGCAUCCAGAGAGACCAGAAGUAGUCAUCAGAUCCCCUGAAACUCCAGCUACAGGCAGUUGUAAGCUGCUGUGGUGUUGGGCAUUGAACCUGGGUCCUCAGCAAGAACAAGUGCUCUCAACCACUGAGCCAUCUCUCCAGCUCCUCCCGAGCCUCAGCCACAGCCUCUUGAUGGUCACCCUUCCUGCUUUCCUGAGCUGCUGUUCCCCACAGAAGCCAGUGGUGCUCCUAAACAUCGGUCACUUCUGGCUGGUCACACUGUGCCAGCAUGCUGUGCCUGCCGUGGGGCUUCUGUGAACAUGUUGUAGACUGGCUGCUUUGCCUUUCCAGAGCCUCGUCCACUCUGCUUCUGGCAUGGUUGGAGCAUUCUGUCCUCUUGCUGUUGCUCUGGGGGGGGGGGGUGGCACUGUUUGGAAUUCCUCGGGUGCUCCUCCUCAUGGAUACCCCCUGAGUCCCUAACAGGUCUUCCUGGGCUGCUCACCAGCAGCACACCCCCCCCCCACUCUGUCCUUCUUAGCUGUCCUUGUGGUGGGGGUCACUUCUUCACAGCUCAGAACAUGGUCACUUACCUUUCUUAGAAUAGCAACUAUGCCCAGAAAGUUGCCUUUUUGACUACCAAGCACCCAGCACCUAAAACCUCACCUGGUUCAUGAAUAAAUGUUGCACUGAUAAAUGUCCCCCUGUGGCUCCAGUGAGUCCAAGGUGUCAGAGGUCGUGAGCACAGAGCUCUUUCCUGAGGCUAAGCCCCAAGCUGGGAAAAGCCUGACAGUCCCUUGCCUCAUACCCGGGUCACACCUAGGAGUGUGCCUGCAUGACUGUGUCAGCUCAGUCCUAUCAUUUGAUGAGAGUCCUAGCUGGGGGCCACCGGGACCCCUCCCACCCUGCCUCCCGCCUCACAUCUACCGCUUUCUCCUCUUUGCUCCCCUUUCACUUUUCCCCUCGUGGUUAAUGGCAGUAAUCUCUGGAAGCAACUGCUGCAUCCGUAGGGUUGGUCUGAUGCCCUGCUUAGAGGCUGAGUAUCUUUUCUUUUUUCCUCUCUUCUUCAUCCUCCUCCUCUCCCUCCUCCUCCUCCUCCCUGCUGGCACUCCAUCCCUUCAGUCUGAGGAACAUUUCCCCCUGUGUGGAAGGCUGAGUCAUUAGUUCUGGUUUCCCCUGUUGCUGGAACAGACUGACUGACCCACAACAUUCCCCUAGGCACGCCUGAUCUUAUCUACAGGACAUUUUAGAAAGUUUUCACCCAAAACUCUUCUCCCAACUCUCCCCCAGCCAUGUUCACAGGAAUUCCCUGCAGAUUGUGGGAUUGCAGAUCCUGGUACUUUGCUGAGAUUCCAGUGUAUUCGAGUGUGUACGUGCGUGCCUGCGUGCGUGCGUAUAAGAAGUGGGGGUAGUAAGUGCAAGGCCCUGGGUUCAGUUCUCAGCUCCGAAAAAAAAAAAAGAAAAGAAAAAAAAAAAGAAGUGGGGGUGGUUGCAGGCCAUCAAGUAUCAGCUAGCUUCUGGGGUCUCCCUGCUUUGUGCAAUCUUGAGCCAGCCAUUCUCUCAUUCAUAGAGUGGGACAAAAACUACUCAGCCCUCAAGAUCUCCCUGCGACCAGCACUAAGGUGGGGGGCAGCAGAAAGAGUAUAUGCUGCCCACUGCUGGGUGUUUUGUGGGUACCACCACACCCACAGCUCCCUGGCUUCAGUUGUCAGGAGCCUGUCCCUGCUGCUUUUGUAAGCACUGCCUCAGGUCGAGCCCCAGGGAAGGGCAGGACUGGGUCCCAACCAGCAGAGUGAGCUGCAGUGAUAUUUUAGCAAGGGCCCCAGGCUGACUAUUCAUUCAGUCAUUCAACCCUCAGCAAGAGUGGAUUCACACUUUCCAUCACGGCCUGGCCAGCCAGUUUCCAUAUCAGCCAUGCCUCAGGAAGGUCGGACGCCGUAGUCAUUCUUUCCGUUGCUGUUGAGCCUGCCGCCGCGGGCCUGCAUGCCAGCAGAGCUCACUACAGGAAGCAACUGUUGGCCCUGCUGAGCUGCCUCGCCUCUGUACACUCUGACAGAUAAGAGGGCGUGACUUUCCCACAGGAGCAAAACGUCAGCCACCCUUCUCCUUGGUAGUCCUUGGCCAUGUCUCUUUUAUUUUAAGAUGUCAAGGCAAUCAUGGUUAUAAACAUUUUGGGUCUGACAGAGCUGUGUGUGACAUUCUCCCCUGGGAGCCCUGACACCUGUGAUGUGUGACUGUCCGACACUAGCUGAUGCCAUGUGUAUUCCCCUCCAUUACCCUGGGGACAGUUUGAAAGAAAAGAAAUGAAAAUUCCACAUUUCCUCACAGCUAAACCAGCAGGCUCGGCAGAAGAAGCUCAUACUCCUGGGCCUGCUGACCUCUGGUCGCCUCUUCCAAGUUCAGGGGUCUGUGGGUGCUCAGGUGUGGGUGCUCAGGUGUGGGGUGCUCAGGUGUGGGAGCUCAGGUGUGGGUGCUCAGGUGUGGGUGCUCGGGUGUGGGGAGCUCAGGUGUGGGUGCUCAGGUGUGGGGAGCUCAGGUGUGGGUGCUCAGGUGUGGAAGCUCAGGUGUGGGUGCUCAGGUGUGGGUGCUCAGGUGUGGGGAGCUCAGGGAUGUGGGGAGUCCUUGCUCUGGUUUUAGAAAUGCACUGGAGGAGAUGGCAGAAGGUCUGUUUCAGGACCCCUGGCUGGUUUCAUGUGCCCUUUGUUCUGUAAAGCUAGUGGGGGCUACCUAGAAGGGUAGGUGACACCGGAGGAGGAGCUGUGCUGCAUUCAGUUCUAGGGCAUCGCGACUGAGUUGGUCACAAGGGCUUAGUCAAUACACAUGCAGAAUCAUGUGUCAUGGAAACUAGAAGGGACUUUGGCCAGUUUAUGCAGUGGUCCCGGAGUCUGGCUAUAUGUCAGAACCACAUAAAGCGCUCAUUCAAAAUUCAAAUGUUGUCAAACAUUUGGACUCUUUCUCAGCCAUCACAUAUAUAAGUCUCUGUGUGUGUGUGUGUGUGUGUGUGUGUGUGUGUGUGUGUGUGUGUGUGCGCGCGCGCGCGCGCACGCAUGCGUGUAUACUUUUGUAUAACCCAUGUAUGUACAUAAAGAGGUUAAAGGUCAGCCUCAGGUAUCAGUCAUAGAUGCUGUUCACCUUUUUUUGUUUUGAAAUGGUGUCUGUCACUGACCUGUAACUCACAAGUUGCUGAGCUGGCAGGUGGGUGAAUUCCAGGGCUCCACCUGGCUUUUCCCUUUAAAAAAGAAAAAAAAAGUUCUGAGGAUCAACCUCAUUCUUGCAAGGUAAACCUUUUAUCAACUGAGCAAUCCCUCGCACCAGCCAUCUCAUUCUUAGUAGACUCCCCAUGUGGGUCCUAAACAGCAAGCCAGGAAUCUCCUCAGGGACCCACCUCUGAAAAACAAAUCGUAAAUACAAUUGGAAUACAAUUGGUUAUUCUUUCUAUCGGCUGUUUAUUGUUACUUGAUGAGAAACCAGACUUCUGCUGACUCUCUGUAACCUGCCAGGAGCUCCCACAAAGUUGCUGAAGUUGCCCAAGGAGACAUUUCUUCUCAGAUAAAGGUGUAGAAAGUUAGGGGUUCCCUCCCACCCUCCCUCAGCAUGGGUUCUUGAGGGGCCAUCUACCCAGCUUUCUCCUUCUUUCUGACUCAUUCCCACAGAGGGAGCCACUGAGGCCAGAGCGGGUGCUAGCACUUGGCCUUAGAUCAGGGCUUCCUUUCCCAGCCACUGUCUGUGGCGACCACAUGCCUGGGAGACUAGAAUGGGUUCCUUCAGGACAGGUGAUUGCGCCACCCAUAGCAGAAGUCCGACCACCCUGUGUCUAUCUGAGGCUGGCCUUGAUUUCCUCCUGCACCACGAGCCUGGCCCAGGUGGACAUGCAGAACGGGCCUGAGUCUUCCUCCCAUUCUGAUUCUUCCUGAAGGUUCUGCUAUACGGUUCCAGCUCAAUGCUCAACCAGAUAGGUGGGAUUUAGUUUCCAGAUUUUGCCCAACCUCAAGUUUCCAGGAACAUAAGUCCAGUAUGAUUUCAUUUGCUUAUUCAAAUUACAUAUUUUGGGCAUGUGUUAGGCGGGCAGCAGAGAGGGAGGGUGGGUGUGUCCUGAUGUACAAGAGGGUAGCAUGAUGCAAGGCGCAGGCAGGGUGCCACAGUUUGUAUUUCUAUAGUAGUUGUCGGAGUCUCUCAGAGGCUGACAUGCUUUCCUUCAUGGUGCCUGUCCUCUGCACUCUGACCCUGACGUCCUGGGUCUCCUCACCUCUGUCAUGUAACCUGAGGACACAGGCAUGGCUCUCUGUGGGACACCAGAUGCUGUCCAUGUUACCUCCUAGCAGACUUUUGUCUCUUGGACAUGUCAUGGGUAUUUCAGUCAGCCUUUGUAGGGUUACAACACGGCACCACUAGAAAGAGCGGCUCAAGUAACGGGUGGCCCAGUGUGUGGGGUGGGUACAGGUGUGAGCCUAAAGCAAGCCCUGGCCUUCUUUAAUCCCUGAGUUAAUUCUGAAACCUUCAGGUCAGCAAGUAGGGCCGGCAUGGAUCCAGCUAAACAAAUACACAAACCCUCCGUGGUGCUGGGCCCGCUAUGGCACUGAGCAGAAAGGAACAAGAGGGUGUGCCUACUCCACACACCAAUCACCACUGAAGCCGUGUCACGUGGUGCUUUGCCUCCUGUGGGACCUGCCUGUCUUCAGUGGCGUUUUUUUCUCCCUAAGUCCUUUUGUGUGCAUCCUGUGUUUUGUUGUAGUCUGAGUUUCGGCUUCUCCUCAGACUCCAGCCUUCAUGUUGUGCAUUCUGUAUUGACUAAGAUCUGAGCUGAACCGUCCUCACCACAGGGCCCUUUCAGCCAUCUAAACAAGUGUCUAAACACCACAUCUUCUGUUGUGGGUUUGCCUUGGUCUUGAAGAGCCACAUUCACAUUAACACACACACACACACACACACACACACACACACACACACACCCCAAAACAAGAAAGAGUGGGAAGCAAAUUACAUGAUUUCUCAAUAAUGUUUGUUUGCUAUCCUUCUUUAUUUUGUUGUUGUUGUUGGUUGAGAAAGAGCCUCACUGUGUAGCCCAGGCUGGCCUCAAACAUUCCAUGGUCUUCCUGCCUUAACCUACUCACUGGGAUUAUGGGGUGGACCACCAUGCUCUUUCUCCUUGAAAGUACCUUAAAGUGCAUAUGUCCGCCCCUGCUAUAUUUAAGACAUCUUCCUGAAGAGUUACCCAAUGAGGGUUGUUUUGAGGGGCGAUGGAGGCGGGGAGGAGCUUGCUCCUUUGACUGACAGAAGCCUGAGGUCAUAUUCCUGGCAGGCCUCCUCCUAAGGCCUCUCUCUACCUUUGUCUCAUGACAUCUCUUGUCUCAGCUCCUUUAGUUCUGAGGGGCUUUAAAGUGUAUUUCGGUGGGACCUGUGGUGAUGCUGGGCCUCUUGGAGAGGCACUCUCCAUCCCUGACAUCCUCAUGAUUUCUGUCUGUGCUUUUGCAGCCAUUUUCUAGCAAUGGCAAAGCCACAUGCUCUGUACCAGCUAUAACAGAAACUACAAGUAGGAAGGAUUAAAGGCUGAAAUAGACCUUGGAGAAGCAGGAGAGGAAAAGGGAUGUCUCUCUGGGGAAGAGAGGGUUAGUGGGAACAAAGGGAGCCCCCCCCCCCAGAAGGAACAAUUGUCUGCCUCUUACGCACUAGAGAAAAGCAAGCUCGGAUCAGGAUGGCGUGCCGUAGAGUAGAAGGGUGACCCUUGGUAGCCACAAUGUGUGGUUGAGGUCAUCUCCAGGCUGAUGCCGAGGAUGAUAAGGUGGUGAAGGGCUUGAGAAGACAAACACGCUGGUGGGAACUUGACCCAGAGCUUGCGGACCCAUGUGGGGUCACGUAGGAUGUGCUAGUAGUGGAACCAGUCAGCCCGGGUUCUAGUACUGAUAGAAGAAGCUGUGACCAAGGGCUCAGCUGAGAUUUGGCAGCACAGUCAUCAUGGUGAUGGAAUGUUGAUGAGGGGUUUCCAUCAAGCACAGUGUUUCCAUCACUCAUGGUUACCAUCAGAGAGUAGCUUAGGGAUCUCAACUACGUCCAAAUGUGUGACUUCAUCUCUCUGAGCCCUCCCCACCGCUCUGAAUCACCAUUUCCACACCAGUGCUUGCCUGAGGAAGAAACAGGAGCAAGUGGAACUUGAAGUCAUGGCUCUCUGCUGAACAUCUCCCUAUGCGGUCCAGACAACACAGACACAGCAUCUUCCUACGUCCACGUCCAUGCAAGCAGCACCCAGACAGCACCUUCCCAUGUAUCCCAAACAGGACUGAGAACAGUCUCCCAUCCACUCAAUCAUGAGGCGUCACAGAGCCCAGACAGCAUCUUUGGAUCCCAGGCGUAAAACCAAAUCCUCACCCAAGAAAAUAAUCUGUGUUGCGUUCAGAGUUUCUGCUGAUGUGUGUUGGGAAUUGGGAGCAAAUGCACAAGUGCAGCCGACCACACUGGAGUAAGCCUUAGCUCCAGUUGUUCUGAAUGAACCAGUUUGUUUGUUUUUUUAUAAUUUUUUUUUGGUUCUUUUUUUUUUUUUUUUUUCCGGAGCUGGGGACCAAACCCAGGGCCUUGCGCUUCCUAGGCAAGCACUCUACCACUGAGCUAAAUCCCCAACCCCUUGUUUUUUUUUUUUAAUGAAUUUUUUUUUUUAAACCAAAUCUUGACAUACAAAUCCAGUGCUGUCCCACUAUGGAGUAGAGUCAGCCUUAAAGCCCCACAAUGAGCUGUCCCUGCUGACCACUGCAUAGCAUGUCUCCUUAUUGUAUGGCUGAGGAGAAGUGUUGGAAUGACUUCCAUAUUUUGGCCCAAGAAGCAUCAGCUCCCAACAAUGUGGUUUACUCAGACUCCUGACAUUCUAGCUCCUCUUGAGGAAUCAUUUCAGCACGAGGUUCACAGCCUUGUUCCCUUGGGCUUGUGAAGUUUCCUGGUCUUGGGGAACUAGUACCUGUGUUCUUGCUGUGUGAGUUGUUUCUGUGUCCCUUGGAUGAAAUGCAGGUGAGUUCUGCCUGUGUCCAGCCUACUGCAGUGACUGACAGUGGGCACCUUAGAGCAGCUCGGUGCAGCCCUCUGCAGUCACAGCUCUAAGGUCUGUGGAGUCAACCAACGAACAGCAGCUCACAGAAAUCAGGCAGACGCUCCUAGCGUGUGCAGCUGUCUUCUCAUACAAUUAUUUUCUAAUCAAUACAGUUUACCAACAAUCUGGAUCAUAAGAUAUUAUAAGCCACUCAGAGAUGGGAAGAAUGUCUAUAGGAAGAUGGGCAUGGAUUCUGCAAAUACUCUGCCUCAUUUACAGCUGGGCAUCCGAGGGCUGCCUGGAUACUGAAGGACAACUACUGUUUCCCUGGUGAUAGAAGAGGGCUUUUCUCACACUUGGAGGAUUAGUGUCUUGUUUUCUGGGUUUCCAAUUAUGUUAGUGAUUAUUAAAUUAGGGCUUUGGCAGGCAUGAAGUAAAAGCAGUUUUCUGUAAUUUGUCAAAUUAAGUAAAUUAACUUAAUGAUGUGGUUUUUAAAAAGAUGUAUUUGUAUUCUCUAUGCAGUUCUAAUUUAAAACUAAUUAAUUGGUAAUAUUAAGGAAAUUUAAUUUCCUUACAGUACUUUCAUGUUUUAACAGCAUUGUUUAUUUUUUAAGAAGUAGAUACAUUAAUUUUUAUAGGAUAUAUUUAACCAGUUUUUAAACAGUAAUUUUUAAAAUAGUAAUUUUUGUUUUUAUUUUCAGAAUAAUUUAACAACCAUAACAGGAAAAUAAUUGCAGUGUGGUGCCUUCAGAGAGGUGUCAGGUGUUUAUAAAAUGGCCCUUCCCCCAGGGCAGCUGCUCUCAGCUCCCGGUCGGUGUUUGUGGUCUUGGUAAAGGGUGCAGAGGGCAGUUUGUGAUCAGAGGAAGGGUCUGUUUCAACAGAUCCUCUACACAGCAUCAUGUAUGCCUUUCUACACAACAAAGAUCUCUGCUAAAAGCAGUUAGUGAGUCUUCUUAAAUUAUGUUAAAAGCAACUUCCCUCGGCAUUGUAUGAGAACCAUAGACAGCUGACGGCCACUUCCUCUUUUUGGUAUAAAAUAAUGUUGCUGGUUUCAUCAUAGACUGCAUGAAUCACGUUUUUAUUUCAAAUGUUUAUCAAAACAAAUAAAAUAAAACAAACCCCACUAUCUCCAAAAGGCAGAGGGAUCAUCAGAAAGGUUUUAUGGAAGAAGUCAGUGGAUGCUAACUCCCUCGGUGGGAGGAACCUUGGGGCAGGAAGGGAAGGCUGACUCUUUCUCUUUCAGUGGUCAGACUGAGCAAGGACACCCUAACUCAGAUUGUCAAGAUGUCAUGUGUGCUCUCUUCUUACUAGACAUCUGCCUCACUGAUAGCCCAAGCAAUGACAGUUGCAUGCAGACGCCAAGCAAUCUUGUUCUCUUCAAGCAUAGGAAGAUUACUUAGGAACACACGUCACAGAACACACCUAAGAACUCUCAAACCCUAACUCUGCAUAUCAUCCACACUGUCAGCCAGGGACAUCUCCAGGAAGAAUUUGUUAACAUCUUUCAUUCCUAAAGUCCUAGAGCUGUAGACCAGACCAGUCAGAAAGAGCGGUGCCCAUGAAAGACAUCUCUUUUGAAUGUGGUAGCUGAACUUGCUGAUGUGGUGAUGGUCAUCUCCAUUAAAUGGUGAUCUGUUCUCUCCAGCCAUUGCAGUGGGCACUGAGGAAGUACAGGAGGAAGCGUGUGUGCACGCGCGCGCACACACACACACACACACACACACACACACACACACACACACACGUGCAUAUACAGACAGACAUGUACAUACAUACACACAUACAGACACACACAUACAGACACAUGUACACCACAUGUGCAUAUACAGACAGACAUGUACAUAUAUACACACAUACAGACACAUGUACACACACACAUAACUAAAAGAAAGAAUCUGUGGUCUCACACUUCCAGACAGCUCUGCUGUCCAGGCCUGGGCUCAGGGCCUGCCCUCCCCACCACCCUUAACAUCAGUCUGCACAGGCUCCUGGGAUAAGCAUGGAGUCUCCACCUGCCUUCAUCCUCUUUCCCCACCUCUUCCCCUCCCCUGAACCCCACAGAGCCCUUUAGAGCUGUCUCAUCCCUGUUUCCAAACACUGGACCCUUAGGAUUGAUGGGGCCGAGGCAAAGCCCCUUCGAGGUGGUUUCUUCUCUCAGACAGGAGUCUACACCUACCUCACAGCCAAGAUGAGAAACUGAAAAUACGUGCCCAGACAGCUGGUGCAGCGCACACUGAGCCUAAGCUCUUGGAUUUUUCCUCCUCUCCUAUCCUGUGUCUCCAGGUGCCCUCGCCCCUCCUCACACCCAUUUGUCCAGAUCCUCUGAGCAGCAUCCUCAUUUAGUCUGCACUUGGCAGGACCUUCCUCAGUGUGGGGCAGACAGAGAGGCCUCUGCUUCCCAACCCAGCCCCAUCCUUCUGGCCCAUGGAUCAUGAUUCCAAGAGGGGAUCUGGUCUAGCAUAUGGUAGUGUGUUCUGUAUUGCCUCAGAAUACAGGAGGCCAUGAGGUGCUUAGUAUUGUGUUAGAUUACUAUUGUUGUUGAUGAUGGUGGUGGUGGUGGUGGUGGUGGUGGUGGUGGUGGUAUGGGUGUUUGCCUCCAUGAGUGUCUGUGCCAAAAGAGGGCACUGGAUUUUCUGGGACUGGAGUUGUGGAUAGUUGUAAGCCACUCUCUGGGAGCUGGGGACCAAAGCCAGGUCCUCUACAAGAACAAUCACCUUAACUGCCCGCCCUCUUCUUGGUCCCCUGGUUCAAUCAGUAACAACUGUAAUGAGACCGCCUCUGCGGCUGUUCCUCAGGCUCCUACACAGCCAUUCUUCCCACAUCAGAAGCAUUAUUCCGGAAGCCUCUGAGCCCCCUGCUCAGUGCUGGGAGUUCUUUCCCCUGACAUUGUGAGCCCAGUGCAGCUGCACGUGGUUAGAAGCUGAUCUGCAAACCUACGGGGAAGCUCUAACAGGGCAGCCCUGAUGAAGCGAGACUUAGGUGCCCCGGCCACUCUGCCUCCUGUGCCAAUACUUCUGUCUGUCACAGGUGAGCACGCCUCCUCCCAGAAACAAGGCUCCUUUCUGCAUAGUGAGUUCCCAAGAGACAUUGACUCCGCAGACAGUUCUCCCUCUCACAGCCUCAGCAGUUCCAUGGUAGCCGCCAGGAAACAGCGGGGUGCCAGCAUAGCCUGGCUCCAGGCUGCACAAUCUUCAAAGCUAACUGAAACCUUAAAGCACAUUUGAAAUCAGCCUCCCACAGCCCAUCUAAGUAUAAGCAGAGCCCUUUGACAGACUGUGGGCUAGUGAAAGUGCUGUACCCAGCACUGAGUGCCUUUACCAGAUGCACAGAGAAGCCUGCCCUCCAAGGGUGAGUUCUGCUCCCAUGGGGGUUGAUGAGGAGAGGCCCUGCUGCCUGCCCGGGAUACAACCCUAAAGCAGGAGCCUGCUUUCCAGAGAUCUGGUGACCUUCCUUAUGGUGGGACAAGCAUUCCUUCAGAGCCAGAGCUCUGGCCUUUUGGGGAGACUCCAGUAGAAACUGCUAGAAGUAUACUGUCCCCUGUGUGCCUGUUCCUCUAUAUUCCCAAAGCCUGUGAGACUGACUGAUCAAUCACAGGAGAGGCUUCCUGCCCUCUUCUUCUGUGACUUUUGGUUUGUGUCAGCCAUAGCAGCAAGUGGGAAGCUCUCACAAAGGCCAUACUGCUAACGCUUUCUUCCACUGGAAUUCAUCUUAGAGUUGGGACCAAGUGCUUUCCCAGUCAGCUACAAAGCCAAGGUCAGAGUUUCCAAGCUGCCACCCUGAGUAAUUAUGAUUACUGGGUAUCAGAGACCGAAGUUUAUUUUCUAAUGUGAAUUAUCAGUACUUCUCUUAUUUUAAAACAUUUUGUUUAUAUCUAUACAAUUUCAAAUGUAAAAAGUUGCAUAGACUCACAGCAGCAUUUGGAGGGGUAGGAAGCGUAGCUCUGUAAGAUUUAGAGCUUAAAGCCAUUCAGCAAAGAACAAUGGUGUGAAUUCACUUAGAGUUCUGUCAUCCUCCAUGUCCCAUGCAUGCAUGCACGCAUGCAUAUAUAUAUAUAUGUAUAUAUGUGUGUGUGUGUAUGUAUGUAUGUAUGUGUGCGGGACUUGAGUCUCUCUAUUCCUAUGUGACUGCAGCUGGUACUGUCAGGAGCUAGUGUUCAUUCUGUAUGUACAUACACUAUACACACACACACACACACACACAUACCAUGUGCAUACAUACUACAUAUACACCACACACACAUACUACAUACAUACCACACACAUACAUAACACGUGUAUAAUACUACAUACAAACCACACAUACUACAUACAUAUCACAUACUUACAUAUACAUAUAUAUGAUACACAUAUAUGUAUGUAUAAAAAUGUGUAUAUAUAUAUACACAGUAAACUUACACAUACAGCACACACACAAACACUAUACACACAUUUCAUACAACAUAUGUAUGCACUCCACACCUAUAAACAUACAUACACACUCCACAUACACACCACAUACAAAUACUACAUACACAUCGUAUAUACACUUAUAUGCACACAUACAUAUCCAUGCUACUAUACAUACCAUGCACACAUAUAUAUAUGCACACCAUCCCUACAUACACAUUCAUUCAUACAUGCACCCUACACAUAUAUACACACAUAUCCUACAUACAUACACACCAGAUAUAUACCAGACAUACAUAUAAACAUCACACAUAUCACACACAUACAUACUACAUAUACACAUACCACACAUAUAUAUAUGUUUACACAUCACACCUACAUACACAUAUCCUAUACACAGGCACACAUACCACAUAUACAGCAGGCAUACAUAUAAACACCACACAUAUCACACUACAUAUAUACCCACCACACAUACAUGUGCUGAGAAGAGAGGAAAGGGAACAGGGAGAAUGUAGACUGGACCUGGGAAUGCACUUUAAAAGCCCUUUAUCCAGAGCCAUUUGGCACUCACCCCCUGCUGGCUCCACCCUAGUAAUGGCUCAGCCUCUGCCUCCUCAGUCUGCACAUGGCCACCUCAUCUUUACCAGGUUCUCAAUCAGUGCUUCUGUGUCCUCAGGUAGAAGUGCCUCCUGUCCUCUGUGGUGCUCUUUGAUACAUUCCAGCAUGAGGGCCAGUGUGGCGGGCAGCAUUAACUGUACAAGAGCUGGGGGAGGAAAGGCCCAGUGCGUGUACACACACACACACACACACACACACACACACACACACACACACACACACAGGGGGGGAGGGGGAGACAGAGAUCUCACAUAGAGCUCAGUCCAGUAGAUAUACACAGUCAUUAUUAAGAGAUACCAGAAGUCCUGUAAAUCAAAAGGUGUAGCAUCUCUUGUUGGGUUUCAUUUAGUUUUGUUUUUGGCUUUGUUUUGAGAUAGAUUCUCACUAUGUACAUAGACAUGGCUGUCCUUGACCUUGCGAUCCCCCUGCCUUUCCCUCCCCCAUGAUUGGAUUACAGGUCUGUGUCACCCAAUCCAGCAAAGCCAGCAAAGUGCACUCCCUCCCUUCCCAUCCUUGUGGGCCAGUUGGUCUAGUUUCCUUGUGUUGCUGUGAUAGAGCCCUGGGAGCAAAAGCAACUUACUCUCAGAGCUCCCAGGCCACAACCAUUACUGAAGGAAGUCCCAACAGGAGCUCAAGAUGGAAACCCAGAGACAGGAACUGUGGAAGGAUGGUGCUCGCUGGUGAACACUGGCUCACUUUCUGCUUUGCUCAUGUGCCUCUCAGUUCCUUACACAGUCCAGGACCCCUUGCCUAAGGAUGGUGCCACCCAUGGUAGCCUGGGCCUUCUGCACUGUUAACAAUCAAUACUCUCUCUCUCUCUCUCUCUCUCUCUCUCUCUCUCUCUCACACACACACACACACACACACACACACACACACACACACAGAGGGAACUUGCUCAUUAAACUACUUGUGAUUCUAGGGUAUAUCAAGGUGACAGUUAAUGGUGAGCAGGAUCCUAGUCACAAGUAUUUGUGUCAAGUAGUGAAUUAUGUAGAGUACACAGAAAGGUCACUGAAUUCAUCCAGUGCUGCCUUUCUAACAUGACAAGGUAAAGUCUGAGCCAUUAGAGGUUCUAGGUCUGUUGGAUGGUAGGUGCCCUUUCUUAUACUCGCAAUGCUUUCUGAUCAGGGGGACAAUAAAUCGUUCAGUGUGAUCACUCCCAGGGCUGUCAUCAAAGGACAUCUGUUCAGCCAUGGCUGUGUUACUGUGUCACACAGCUGUUUUCACCAUUAAGCCUUCUCUGUGUUGAGCAUCUUGUUGGGGACUACGGACCUAUUUGGGAUUCAGGAUGUGUGGGAGGUGUUGCUGCUGUGGAGCCUGGGCUUCCUCAGGCUGCUGCUCUCUGGACCACUGCAGCCCUAAGAGAACAUGUUUCCCGCUGCCUUUGUUUCUGGGCUUUCCUCACACGUCUCCUGUAUGCUGGACGCCCAUGUGCUGGCUCCCCUAGAAGCUAUAGGGAUACUUGUCAGAGAGAAGUGGAGUAGAGUGGCUACUGUCCAAACCUUCCCAUGGCAGCCACAGAGCACUCAGCAGGCUUUUCUUGCGAUGCUUUGCUUUGACCUCACAGAAAACACGAGGCAGAUGGGGGGCACCCUACCUCAGCCAGGGCAGCUACAUGGGAGAGGCAACUGAGCGCUGGUGCACAGGAGUGAUAAACGCCCUGGGAUUUCUGGGUAAGCGACUGCAUUGGAAGGAACAGGACUAUAAGCCUUUUGUGGAGCCAAUCCCAGAGUCCUGUGCCUGCGGCAGCGUGCAACCCACGGCCCGGUGGUCCAUAGAAGCCAGCGCCACACACACAGUUUUUCUGACAGUGGGACUGCUGUGGACUGUUCAAGUGGAGCCAAUGUUUUAAAGUUUGAUUAAGAAGAUCUUAAGUUAAAAUUUAGGCUUUCUGUUUUGGGGUUUGAAACAGGGUCUUACCCGGGCCCAGACUGGUUUAGAAUUCACCAGUGUCAUCAGUCCUCCUGUCCCAGCCUCCCGGGCAUAUGUCACUGCACGAGGCUUAGGAGCUGGGUCUUCAUUUCCUCAGAGCUGCCUACAAUCCGUGUACCAGUUCUUCUCAUAGACAAACUCCUGCAGCUCUGCUUUAACAGGGCCAGGGACCACCUCCGUCGAGCACUUAGGGUCAGUUCCCAGCACCCACUUGGUGGCUCACAGACAUCUGUAACUCCAGUUCCAGGCGAUCUGGUGCCCUCUUCGUGCCUCCACCAGCACCAGGCAUGCAUAUCGUAAACUUAUAUGCAAACAGGCAAAACAUACACAUAAAAUAAAAAAUAAGAUUUUUUUAAAAAAUAAGGUACUUGAACCACAUAGAACUUGCCCAAUAUUUGUGUCCCUUGGAGGAAGAUGUGACUAUUCUGAAUGCCUCUGUGUUUAUGCACAGAGCAUUAGAAUAGAAUCAAUUACAGACAGGAUGAGUGGGCAGGUCACCGUUUUUGGAUUCAAAAAUAGUUCCACCAGGGCUCACAAAUAUGCUUUAGGGAUCAUUUUUCAUUGCACUAAAAAUAAAAGUUUCAAAGUAGUCACUUGUCCCCCUCCUCCCCCAAAAAUCCUAGUGCUGGAGAGAACCGGAUGGGACUGGGACUGUCUCCUCUGUUUAUGCUGGUCAUGGUUUCAACACAGUCAGCUGACUUUACUAGAUGUGGCGCUUGCUUGCUUCCUGAUAGACCACUAAUUGUCUUCCCUGUCCCUGCCCCAGGCACCAAGCAACUUCCUCAACUGCUGUGUUGCCCUCCCGUUGUCUCUCUUCUGAGUUCUAACACAGUUUUCUGUUGUCACUUCAACCAAAUUUUCUUCUAGAACAUUCUAUAUUAUCCUAUUAAGCAUUAAAAGUAUUGAAGAAUUGCAAAAUCAUUUCCAUUAUAAAACCCUACUUUCCUCAUAACAGCUAUCUUUGUAGAGAUAUUUCCAGGAAAUGGGUCUCCUCCCAAAGUCCACAGCCCCAAGGAAAAGCCUUCGAGUCUCUUCUUAUUGACUCCCCUUCUCUACUGCCUCCAUGUUCUCAGGGAGAGCUGGAGAACGGGAACGGCUUGUCUUCCCUUCAGCCUCACAGAGAUUAGGGCUCUGCUAUGGGAAGGUUUGUCACUUACUGAAAUGUGACUUCCUGGGAAGUUGAAGGAAGGGGAAACUGACCUCGGCUCAGGGCCAUUGAGGCUUUUCUCAAAGGCCUGAAUUAAUUCUCAAGGAAUGGACUGUUUCCUUACAAAGUAUGUUGUUACUGUCAGCACGCACAUGACAGUCCUCUCUGUCUUGUGAGUUGACGGAGUAGAGGUUCUCAAUGGCUCCAGGCUCUUAGAACCCUAAGCUUAAAAAAAAUUCUUAUAAAUUACCAAGUUUUUAAAAGUUCAUUAUAGACACAAAUAUGCACGUACAUGCACAAACACACACACAUACACACACACAUGUACACAUACACGCGCGUGCACAUAUGCACCAUGUGACUUAGUCUUACAUGGAGGAGUCAAGGGUUUUUUGUUUUGUUUUGUUUUGUUUUUCUUUUUUUCUGGAGCUGAGGACCAAACCCAGGGCCUUGCGCUUGCUAGGUAAGUGCUCUACCACUGAGCUAAAUCCCCAACCCCAGGAGUCAAUGUUUUAAAGCUAGCGAUUUUGAGGAGACUUCCAGCCCCUCCAGUGUGGCGUUUUCACAGGUCACCACACCAGUGUUGGUGUGUCUGGGAUCAGGUACCCCUGCAGACUGAGCAGCCCAGGCUGCGGGAGCCGAGUGUGCACUUUCUAGCAUUACGUAUGCUGGUUCUGAGUCUCUAUUAGGGCACUCCAGACCCACAAGCCACACUUACCACAUCAGCAUAAGAGCCCUUUCUCAUCCAGGAUGCUCUCAGUGAGUAAUUCCCAGGCAAUCCAAAGCUCUGUGGGCUCCUUGUUUACUUCCUGUUGCUGUGAUAAACCCCAUGAACAAAAGCAGCCUGGGGAGAAAAGGGUUAAUUUAGUUUACACGUCACAGUCCAAGCUGGGAGACCAGAGCAGGAACUCAAGGCAGACACCUGGAGGCAGGGCUGAAGGUGAGGCCACAGAGGAGGCCGUUCACAGGCUUGCUCCCCAUGGCUUGCUCAGCCUGCUUUCUGAUACCCAGGAUCGCCCAGGGACAGCCUCACACAGAGCAGGCUGUGUCCUCCCUCACUAAUCAUUCAUCAAGAGUGGGCCCCACAAACUGGUCUGAUAGAGGCAGUUCCUCUACGGAAAUUCCCACUUUCCAGUUGACAGAAACUAGCCAGCACAGUCAAUAUACAUGAAGCUAACCUAAAGGCUUUCAAUGAAGAAAAAAAAAAAACAACAGAAUCCAGUCAUACAGCAGGGUCAGUGUGUAUCCACAAACCCAUGACCUUGGGCCAAUAAGCACAAUUGGAAACUUUUUUGAUUAUUAUGUUUUGAAAGCAUACAACGUAAUGGUUUCCACUGUGACAGCUUCACAGCACAUGCAUUAGCCUUUAGUUUGAAAUGCUCCCCCUACUGCCCUCCCAUGUCCUCCCUGCCUCCUGUUGGCCUCUCCUCCCCCAACACUCCUUCUUAGGCCUAGCCUCCUCUCAUGAUCCUUUUUUCCUUUCAUGUCACAUACAUGUGCACAUGUAUGUGACAUAUAUGUAACAGAAGUUCUAAAUGUAGACUCUGCAUACAGGAAGAGUGUAUAAUAUUUGUCUCUGAAUCUGGCUUUCUUCUUCUUCAUGUUACAUUUCCCAUUUCAUCCAUUUGCUUGCAAACAUCAGGAUUUCUUAAUGGGCGCAUUACUGCAGGGAAAGGGCUUGCCAACUUCAGAGUGUAGGCUGAGUGUUACUCGGACAUGUUGUCAGGCAGAGGCUGCCUCAUAGGCUGGAAAAUGUGAGCUAUGCUCAAAAGAAUGCCAGGCCCUUGUAUGGGAUCUAGUUCCAAGCAUUGUGACUGACUUAACCCACUUGGAACAAAGGUAUUUCAGAGCUUUUUUACAGCCUUACUAGACUGUUGCCAGAGGGGCACUUCUGUCCCUGAUAAAUGGUCUUUAUCUUUUACCUUCGCCUCGCCCAUGAAAACUAAGGGACCUUUCAGUGGUGUGUACUGAGACUCCUCACUGGGGCCUGCUGUACUCAGACCAGUGUUCAGGGUAAAGAGAGUCUGGCAAGGGCUCUUCGCAGGCAUCCUGUGCUGAGAGUCAGACACAUACUGUGACCAUCCUGACACCACCUAAUGGCUAUGUGUUUUCUUCUACUUGUUGCCCUAAUUCGGCCUCCUUGUGCCUCUCCAGCUGUUCCUGGAACGGGCAUUUUCCACUUCUGCCUUCCAUAGUUCCCAGUGACCUUGAUGGGAAUUCCAUGAAGCCGCACUGACAGAAUUGUGUGCUCUUUCUUACCGUCAGGAUUACGUACAGUUUAUUUUUGGUAUUCGGGUGAAACAUCUUCAGUUCUCUGCUCCUGCACCACACCAGUUGGCAAAGCUGACCACCUUGGGUGAUGGUUUUCAGUAGCAUCUGUGGAGUAAUUGGACUCUGAGCAUCAGGGCUGAAGGAGGCUUGGUCGUCAGCUUAGACACAGACAAGACCGAGGUGUGAGGGUCAGGAUGCCAGGUACCACAUGGCCUGUCACAGCCAGAGCCAGGGCACACACCAGAACUUCAGACUCCCAAGGUGCCACUGGUUCUUUCGAGAACCAGAUAAAACCUGGUUCCCAUCUGAAAUCCUUUAGAAGGGUCAUCACUGUGGACAGCGGGUUCUGCUGAAGAGCUGAAGGUCACUCCCUACAAUGUAUAGUACGGAUUCCUACAGGUUCUACGUUUAGAACUUCUACAUUACAUGUAUAACACAUACAUGUUUGACGAUUUGGGAUCCGUGUAGGACACGCACUCCAACCCUACCUCUUAUGUGUAGGUCAAGAUUUCACUCUUUUUUAAAAAUGGAAAUUACUACAUUCACUGUCUGGGACAGAGGGCUCACCCUCACAUGGAGCUCAAAGGACACCCGUGGGGGUCGAUGCUCUCCCUGUACCAGACGGCCUCUGGGGGUCAGUCUCAGGUUGAAAACUCAGGCCUGUCGGCAAGAGCCUUUGCCCGUCUGAGCCAUCUCAACAACCAGUCAUGUGUGUUCUUGGUAGCUCUUAGGAAGGCUGCUUCUGUCCGUGGCUCCUUCAGUCACCGGCUCUCCUGCAGGAGGAGGUACAGCUUCCGGGAAUCCAAGGACUCAGCUUGAGGCCUGCCUUUCUGGAGGAGGUGACCGAGCCGGAAACCCUUCUCAUCCUGUUCUCGUUUGUUUCCCUGUGGGAGUGUGGGUUCCGUCCCUCCCCAGCCCAUGUGUCUGAGGCAGGGUCUUACUCCCAAGUCACCCUCAAGUUUCCAGUGUUCCAGCCUGAGUCGGAGUGCUAGGAAUUAUACAAGGAUUCUGCUUUGGUGGUGGUGGUGGUGUUUUGUUUUGUUUUUUAUUUUUUUGUUUUUCUUGCAGUUCUGGGAAUCAAACCCAGAGCCUUAUGCUGGUCAGCAAGUUUUCUAACCAGUGGCCAAGCCCCAGCUUCCCCACACUGCAGUCAUUUAGUGGAGCGCUCCUCUGCAGGGUACCAUGGUGCCUGUCUGUAGAGCCACCCGGAUGAGAAGAGUGUCUAAAGCAGCCCUCCCUGUGGGUUCCCUCUGCAUCGAAGCCAGGGGCGCGGGGGGGCACGGCUGUGUUGAACUCCACGGCUUCUUCUGGCAGUGAAGCCUGGGACCACGGGCACUACCGUAGCAGCUUGAACUUGUCAGCGUAGUUUGUCACAGGGUUGAUGGAUCGUUCCUCACUAUUUGAAGAAUUUGUGUCAAGCUGGAUACAGUUUCAUUGUUAAGUUCCUUUAAAUCCUGAUUACAAGUCAGAUAUCGAGGAGACCUAAGCAAUGCUUCCAUGUUUCCAUGUUUGGGGAAACCUGUCUGUCUCAGAGUGCUGUGCGAAUGAAUGGACAGUGGCCUCAGUACCUGGCCAGCACAGGGAGCUGUCCCUUAGUGGUAGCCAGCUGUCCCACUACCCCGUCACUGUUGCUGGGCACUGCUCAGUCCCCAAGGUCACCUGUGGGCAUCAAGCACCAACUUUCUCAUCAUUCAAGCAUGCUGUGUGUGAAACUCGUUCCCGUGGUCACUAUUUUUACAACUUACCUCAAAAUCAAAAAAUGCUGCCUCAUGAUACAUGUGAAUGUGUGUCAUUCGGUUCAGAACCGUCCCCAGGUUGGCAGCAACAGCACCAGUUAGGUGCCUUUUGGCUGUGCCUCCUGCCCUGCCCUGCCCUGAGCAAACACAGCAGGGUCUCCCAGGUGGAAUGACAGACACUCCAGGCUUCAUUAACUGCCCCAGGUGCCGGGAGGCGGCAGUUUUGAAACAGGUGGCUAGAAUGAGUCACCUGGGUGCAAGGUGGUGUGAUGGCUGCAUGACUUCAUGGAAGUGGUGGCCCUGGCACGAUCUUCACAGCUUUGAAAGGCCCAAAUGUGGCCAGAUGUGUCCCUCAACAGUAAGAGGCCUUUCCAUUUGGUGCGGUCAGCUGGGCCCCGGGGAGACAGAAGCAGCUGUGCCUUGAUCCCUGUCCGGCUGAGAGUCUCCGUGACACGUUCCUCUAUACACAGUUUUCAGUAGUUCCCCUUUCUGACAGUAGAACAAUGACUUUCAAAUAAUCUGGAUAUAUUUGCCACUGAUUACAGUGACCGUACAAAAUAGCCGUUUCUAAGACGGUCCUAAUCUCUGCAAGAACGGUUAAAGCUUGUAUGGUGCAUCUCAACUUCAUGAAUCACCCAUUUCAUUAUGAAAGCUGUUAGGCCACACCCAUUCGGGGUCAGGCUGGGUGUGGUGUGGGCCGUGCCAACCUUGCUGAGUCUCUUAGCAAGUCUCCUUCCUUCCUUCCUUCCUUCCUUCCUUCCUUCCCUCCCUACCUCCCCUCCUUCCUUCUUUUAUUUUUUGAAAUAAUAACUUUUUACUAUGGAGAGUUCAACCUCACACAAAGGCAGAGAGGGUCUGUUGUAGCAUGUCUGCUCACCUGACCUCCCAACCUCCCAACCUCUACUGAACAACACAUGGCUUCUCUUCCCUCCCUCACAAUGGGGAAUAAGUUUGAACAUACUUCAGGUAGCAUACUCCAUUGUAUACAAGUAAGGUCUAAGAAUUCUAGUUGUUGGUUGUUAUGGGGGAUGUUUGGGGGGGUUGCCUUGGCUGUCCUGGAAAUCACUAGGCUGGCCUCAGACUCACAGAGAUCUACCUGCCUCUAUCUUCUGAGUGCUGGGAUUAAAGGUGUGCACCACUAAGAAUUCUGUUUUAAUAAAAAAAACUAAUAAACUUACAUAUAUAAACUAAUAAAUUAAAAAAUAGGGGUUGGGGAUUUAGCUCAGUGGUAGAGCGCUUGCCUAGCAAGCGCAAGGCCCUGGGUUCGGUCCCCAGCUCCGAAAAAAGAAAAAAGAAAAAAGAAAAUAAACAAACUUUGAUACAACCAUCAAACAUCCAUUCUGUUCUCAGAUUCCCAGAUUGGCCUCACAAAUGUCUUUUUUCAUAAUUUGCAUAUUUAAAUUCAAAUCUAAAUUAGUAUCCAUUAUGUUUGGCUGAUUUGUCUCCUAAUAUCCAGCUUCCACCCUUAAUCAUUUGCAUUUGAAGAGUGGUCUCAUUUGUCUGACAGGAGACCCACUAUGUGGGAAUAGUGGUUGUACCCAGUGGGCAACUGAGCGCGAGCGCGCACACACACACACACACACACACACACACCCAUCAUGGUGGAAGCUUGCUCAAACUGAGUUUCUUGUCAGAGUGAACACUGACCUUUCACCUGGGCUUAGUAAUGCAUUGCUGACCCCUAUCGUACAGUCUGUCCGAGCAUUCAGUACCCAGAACCUAGCCUUCAUGCAGUUUCUAGUCGAUUAGAAAGAAUGUUUAAAAAAUAAUUCAUUGAUUUGGCUCUUUUGAUUUUUUGAGACAGGUUUCUCUGUAGCCCCAGUUAUCCUGGAACUUGUUCUAUAGACCAGGCUGACCUUGAACUCAGAGAUCCACCUGCCUUUGCUUCCUGUGGGCCAGGAUUAAAGGCGUGUGCCACCACCGUUGGUGCCCAUCUAUUUGUAGGCAUUUAAAGCCCAGUGACCCUGAUGAAGUAAUCCUUUGUAGGUCAAAAUGAUUGCAUAAUUUCACAGUGUCUCGACAUUUUUCUAUAGGGAUGCUUUUCAGGAGGAUUACUAGAAACAUAAAAGCUAAAGUCAAGGGUUGUGGCUCAAAGGCUGACACCCUUGGGGACCUAGAAGUGCUCUCCAACAGUGCAAAUGUAUAUAAAACAGUUGUAAAGAAAGGUGAACAGAAGUGGUUAGUUGAGAGUUAGAGCCGGUUACUGGUUACCGUCUGUCUGUGCCAGCUAAACGUGUGUGCGGCGUUCCAGAGCGUGUUUUAGAGAGAUCACAGAAUCUAUCAGCCCCCCUCCUCUUUCAAGUCCAAACUAAAGCAGGCAGUGUUCUGUUCCUUUGGUGAUGAAAAUAUAAUGCUAACACACUCCAAUAGUCUUUACUAAGGCAUCUGGCCUGGCCGCCCUCGGAGGGAGUGUAUGUUGGCCUUUGGCGAGCGUGUUUGCAUCUUAACUGCUAUAACUGGGUUCGAGCCUCCCCAGCUCCCAGUUGUGCUCACUCAUUCCCUGACGAUAACCUGCUUUGGCACUGAACCCUGUGCUGGGCUACAGGCCCUUCUGCCCCAUAGGGCCCAUCAACCCAAAGGCUUGGGAUUCUCCAACCAGACGUUAAUUUGAGACUCAGAUUCAGGAGUUUGGGGCCAUGCCUGGGUUCUGGGUUCAAUGUGCAUCCCACUUUUAAAUGUGGAAUGAUCCUCAUCAGAGUCACUCAGGAAACCUGAGGAGGAGGGGGAGAUGGCUGUGAGUCAGCCAUGGAAAACCGAGCACGGAACGAAUUAGUCAGGACUAGUGUUUCAGUGGCCAACCAGACUGUGCAAUCAGGAAGUAGUGUGACUUUCCGUGGCUCCAGGCACUAAGUCACAUGGCAGCAUCUCCAGAUACCUGGCUGGGCCUUCGGCCUGUUUUUCCGAUCCUGAUUUUUGAGAGAAAAUUGACAAGUGCUGAUUUAGCAAAGGCUGUCAAAGGCUUUCCCCACAACUUCUGGUCCCUGCGGGAUCCAGGGCACCUUCUCCCAACAGACACAGAGAGGAAAGACUCUGCUGCCCGUCUGGAACCCCACAGAGCCUGUGGUAGUCGGGGGAUGAGGGGGUGGGAGUGUAGGUCUGAGGAGCAGGUAGUGAUGGCACAGCUGCUGUCCCAGAACUUUUGGUUCUGACCUUUCUCUCCCCACAGCCCUCAGAGCUGUCACAGAAGAGAGUCCGGUCUGCUGUGUCUCAGGUAGCCUGAAA